rnacentral:lncRNA from 1 species
UUUUUUUUGUUUUUUUUUGUAGAUCAUGAUGAGACCAAGACUAACUGCUGGCAGUUAGCUGUGGUUCUGGAACCAUAAUCUCUUUGUUCCUUUCGGUCGACUAAUUGGAUCGAGUCGAUAAAACUAGUGGGGGCACGCUGAGUGCACCCACUGGGUGUAGUCCCCGAGACUACUGUUGAAUAUUUUGAUUCGACUGUAGUCUUAAAAAUGUUACGGUUUUUCUCUUAGUUACUCGGAAGCAACCUCUCUUUGAUAUCUGCCGACUGACUCUUUGCAGAAAUCUUGCGAGCUUGUGGCUCGUUAUACUGAAUUGGAAAAGAAACAUAUCCAACUCGACCUUGACUUGAAACUUGUUCAGGAGAACUUUCAGAAGGCGAAGGACGAGGCCAAAGGUACAAUUGGUGAAAACUUGAUGAUUGUUUUUAUCCUUCUGCCCAUUAUUGAUUCUGACCUCUUUGUCAUUUUGCAGAAAAAACGAAGGUGACUCUAAACAAGAAGGACCAGGAACUUGCUGAGGCGCAGAAGGCAGAUUUGGACAAAACGAAGCUUGCGGAGGAGAAGUUGGCUUCAGUCAGCAAACUUGAAGAAGAGAAUGCUAACCUAAAAGCUGCUCUCGACGCGGCUAACAAGGAUGUCAGCCAUCUGGGAGGGCUCGCCAAGAAGCUAUUCAUCAUGCUUGAGGGUAAUCUUUCCUGCCCGACUGACUUGUAAUCACUGACCUGUCAUAGAACUGCUGGCUUAUCCCUGAGUUGUGUUUACAGAAUUCUGCCAAAACUUCAAGGAAGAGACCAGUCGAGUGGAGACAGGCCUGGAUCAUAUCAACUCUCCUGUGAAGGACGAAACUGCCAUGAACGUGCUCCGACUAGAGUCUCGUGUCGCUGGUGUGGUUGACUAUCUUGCUCGACUGAAGGUUGCGGCGUCGCGAAUCGACAUGACACUCUGGCCAAGGGAGACGCUUCAGAAUGACCUCGAGUCUCUGAUGACUCGACUAAAUGAAGUUCCAGGUCGAGUGCAAGAAUGGAAGAAGUCUUCCGCUAGGUGUGGUGCUGAUGUUGCUCUGUCUUUGGUCCGUGUUCACUGCAAGGAUGCACGAGAGGAAAAGCUGGCGUCCCUCAAGGUGGCCAAUACCAAGAAGCAUGACUUCCAAUCUUUCAUGGAGACCUUCAUUGCAGCUACCACUCGGAUUGCAGAUGGAAUCGACCUGGACCAGUUCGUCGUGCCUUCUAGUCCUCCAUCGGAGGAGUACAAAACUUUUAUGCUUGAUGCCUUAAAUUUGCCUCGGAAUGCCGAGUGGUUUUGUAACCGAUAAACUUUAACAGGCUUGAUGCCUGAGCACUUCUGGACCUGUAGGAUGCUAUCUGAACUUGGCUUUGCCGUUGAAUAUGUUUGCAUUUUCCUUCGAGUGAACAUUGUCUUCACUCAGAAUAUAUUUUAGUGUUUGUGACGCACUCUUGCAGGUAGGGAUGGAGCACAGAUGGCAGUCUACCUGCGUCCUUGCGGAUCGGGAUGGAGCGCACAUUGUAUUUGUGUCGUAGCUCCGAAGGAGAAGGUAGCAGUCGACCUGCACCUCGUCGUCCUUGCAGAGCGCACAUUGUAUUUGUGCCGUAGCUCCGAAGGAGAAGGUAGCAGUCGACCUGCACCUUGUCGUCCUUGUAGAGUGCACAUUGUAUUUGUGUCGUAGCUCCGAAGGAGAAGGUAGGAGUCGACCUGCACCUCGUCGUCCUUGCAGAGCGCACAUUGUAUUUGUGGCAGAGCUCCGAAGGAGAAGGUAACAGUUGACCUUCACAUCGUCGUCCUUGCGGAUCGAAAUGGAUUUCAUACUUAGGUGAGUAUUGGACUGCGGCUAAGCCCCCGAGUGGGAGGUUUGCUCUCCACUCGGUAGGAUUUUAAACACUUAGGCGAGUACUGGACUGCAGCUAAGCCCCCGAGUGGGAGGAUUGCUCUUCACUCGGUAGGAUUUUAAACACUUAGGCGAGUACUGGACUGCAGCUAAGCCCCCGAGUGGGAGGAUUGCUCUUCACUCGGUAGGAUUUUAAACACUUAGGCGAGUACUGGACUACCGCUAAGCCCCCGAGUGGGAGGAUUGCUCUUCGCUUGNNNNNNNNNNNNNNNNNNNNNNNNNNNNNNNNNNNNNNNNNNNNNNNNNNNNNNNNNNNNNNNNNNNNNNNNNNNNNNNNNNNNNNNNNNNNNNNNNNNNNNNNNNNNNNNNNNNNNNNNNNNNNNNNNNNNNNNNNNNNNNNNNNNNNNNNNNNNNNNNNNNNNNNNNNNNNNNNNNNUGGUAGGAUUUUAAACACUUAGGCGAGUAUUGGACUGCAGCUAAGCCCCCGAGUGGGAGGAUUUUUCAAACUUAGGCGAGCACUGGGCUGCAGCUAAGCCUCCGAGUGGGAGGAUUUUUCAAACUUAAGCGAGCACUGGGCUGCAGCUAAGCCUCCGAGUGGGAGGCAGACUCUCCACUCGAUAGGAUUUUUCAAACUUAGGCGAGCACUAGGCUGUAGCUAAGCCUCCGAGUGGGAGGCAGACUCUCCACUCGGUAGGAUUUCAAACACUUAGGUGAAACAGAUUCGCAGCUAAGCCUCCGAGUGAAAGACUUGCUUGCCACUCGGUAGGAAAUUUUUUUACACACUUAGGCGAAACAGAUUUGCAGCUAAGCCACCCACUGGGGGAUUUCUUACAUAAACAAAAGCAACAACAAUUAAUGGGAAAAUUAUAACACUUUUGUCUUUGAUAAACAAACUAUAGGAGUACUUUUAUUACAUCUCAUCCGAGUGAGUACUUAAGUGUAAAAGGGGCGGAGCAGAUCCGCAUUCCAAGCUCGUGGCUCAUCAAUCUGGCGACCGACAUUGUAAAGAUAGUAUGCUCCAUUGUGAAGAACUUUUGUGACGAUGAAGGAGCCUUCCCAAGUAGGGGCGAGUUUGUGUGGCUUCUGUUGGUCCACUCGGAGGACCAAGUCUCCUUCUUGGAAGGCUCAACUCCUCACGUUUCUGGCAUGGAAUCGACGCAAGUCUUGCUGAUAGAUGGUCGAUCGGAUCAUGGCCGUCUCUCUUUCUUCUUCUAGAAGGUCUACUGCGUCCUACCGGGCUUGUUCUGCUUCAUCUUCAGAGUAGAGCUCAACUCGGGGUGCGUUGUGAAGCAGGUCACUCGGAAGAACUGCUUCAGCCCCAUAGACCAGAAAGAAUGGAGUUCUCCCAGUCGACCGACUAGGAGUAGUCCUCAAUCCCCAAAGAACUAAUGGAAGUUCGUCGAACCACGCGUCUGCUGCGUGUUUGAGAUCACGCAUCAACCGGGGUUCCAGCCCUUUGAGAAUUAGGUCAUUUGCUCUUUCUGCUUGUCCAUCCGACUAGGGGUGGGUGACUGAAGCGUAGUCGACUCGUGUGCCUUGAGAAGCGCAGAAGGCUUCGAAUUGGUCGGAAUCAAAGUUUGACCCAUUAUCAGUGAUGAUGCUAUGCGGAACUCCAUAUCUGAAUAUCAACUCUCUGAUGAAGCUGAUAGCAGUGUCGGCAUCAAGAUUCUUGAUAGGCUUGGCUUCGAUCCACUUGGUGAACUUGUCGACUGCCACCAGUUGUAGCGACCCGACUCGGUAAGAGUCGAAGUCUCUGUGCUUACCGUGCUAGUCCCUGGAUCGACUUGCUAGCACACACAGUACUCGAUGAAAUAACAGAAAUAACACACAUCUCUUUAUUACAUCGAUAGUCCAGGAGCAAUACAUUUAUUACCAAAUAGGGCAUAGAGCCAAUAAACAAAUACUGCGGAAGCAAAGUAGUAAAUGAGUCCAACUCCACGAGCAAGGUUGAGUGUAGAACAUCGACCUAUCGCACCUUAAUCCUCGUCGGAUAUAUCUGCAACGUGAUAAGUUGCAGCCAUAUAGGUCAGUACAUUGAAUGUACUGGCAAGUCACAUCAUAAGUGUAAUGAACCUACUUGUACAUGCAAUUUGGCUGGUGGAAAGCUCUAAGUUCAAUUUUUGCAUAAAGCUAGUUUUUCCCUAUUAGAAAAGAUGUUAUUCUACUACUACACAUUUGCAUAGGAUGAGUUGGCAAACCCAACUCCAUCCGUUCCCAAGUUUCAUUUAAAUCCCAACUGUUUAAUUAAAUGUGAGGAGAUCUCCCAGCAUUUUCACUACUAGAAGCUCAAGAUGUCCGUAACCGGGGACACGGCUAAUCGAUUAGGUUGACACUCUGCAGAGGUUGCGCACUUUUCCCCACAAGACUCGACCACCUCCAUGAUCGGAAGAUCGAGACAUAGUCUUUCGAAAAUGCUCCCCCUUAACCCACGGAUAGGCCGGUACACCUACAUCCUUCUACAUCUGCUAGCCCAUCCCGGAAGGGGUCACACUAACUACUCAACUAAGCCAGAGCCCAUAUUGGCUUGUGGCUGCACACGUAAGCUUCUAGACAUGAGAAUACGAUUGAUCUCUUUGAGCCUGAGCGGACGGUCCACUAGUGGUGCACCACCAUGGAUUUCCCAUGCGUGCCCCACUGUACUUCGCCACCAUUCCAUCAAGUUUCCGCCCAGGUAGUUCAUUAAUUAUCUUAGGUCCUACUUACUACAUUGUUACUCAUACUUUACAAUGUUCACUCCCCAAUCCACGUCUACUUAGCGAAGCAACAUAAUGUAAAACGAUGGCGACAAUGUCAUAUGGUUCAGACCUACCUCAAUGAACUACUGGGUGAAACGCAUAGUCAUGCGGCAACAAUUCCUACCAUGCAGUCCUACCGCAAAGAACUAAGUGCAUAAUAAAACAUAGGUAAUGAAACAUGAUCAAGAUGCAACUUGCCUUGGUACUGCUGGUUGAACUCUAAAGACUGAAAAUAUUCUGCUUCGCACUCCGGGCAAUCUAUCGCAAAGGAGAUAAACAAACAUAAACAAACAUUCAAGAGAACCAAGAAGAACAUGCAAAGCAAAAGUCUCGGAAAAACCAAAUGAACAAACAUCACACUUAACUAGCAUGAAAAAUAUUUCUAGAUGCAAAACAACAUAGGCCUAUGGUUCAAAGAGUGAUGUGAACUAUAGUGCGUACUAUGCAUACUAGUAAAAAUAUUAAUGGGCAGAUUCUAGUGUGUGAAAAUUAUUGUGACAAAGGUCCAGGUGAUAGGGUUUGGCUACGGUGACAAAGUGCAAAAAGAAUCAACUUAAUCGGAGUUACGGUUUGGGAGAUAUGGCCAUUUGAAGUUCGAAUUCAAAUCUGAAUAAAUUCAAAUUUGAAUCUGCCAAAAGUUUGCAAAAAGGAUACCACUGGAUAGAUCUAAACAAUACGAAGAAUUUGCCGCUGGUUUCAUCGAGUUUGGAUCUACGGUUAAAAAGUUGUGGCUACGCGAAGUUUAGGGACUAAUCUGCUAAUUACAGGGACUAAACAGAGAAGAAAACCAUCGCAAACAAGUCCCUGGCCACGUGGUGGCUCGUGGCUGGCCGAGCAGCGUCCGCUGCGGAGGUUAUACGGCGAACGGACGCUAAAUAAGGAAAACAGUGGCGGCGGCUAACUAAAGAAAAACCGACGCUCGGUUUAAAUAAAACCGGCCGGUCUAAGGGAACCGCGGUUAACCGCGUACCUCUUCGCAAAAUAAAAAAAACCGAACCUAAUCUAAUCUGGACCGUUGGGGUCCGAUCUAACGGGCGAGGGUGGGGCGGCGGCUUACAGUGGGCUGGAGGUGGUGGCCGGCGACGACGAAGACGGCGGCGCGGCGUCGGUGGCGGAGGGGACGGCGGCUACGGCGGUCCUCGGCGUCGGGGAAGAAGACGGGGAGGUGCGGCGCGUCGAGGGCGUCGCGAAGGUGGUGGCGGCGUGCGUCGGCGACGUUCGGACGGGGCGGGGCGAGGACGGCAGGGCUCGGAGCUCCGGCGAGAUGCGAACGGCGACGACGAGCGGUAGGGGCGGCGUGGGAAGAUGCGGGACGGCGAGGAUGGAAGAGGGGGUCUUGGCCUUUAUAUAGGCGAGGGGAGGGCGUCGGGGAGCAGCGGGAUAAGCUCUAUCCCGAGAGCUUCGGCCGGCGGGUUCGGGAGUGCGUGCACGUGCUCAUCCUGCGGGAGAAGAGGGAGGUUGGGGAAGAUGGGGUGGAGCGGGGCCCACCAGUCAGUGGCGGCGGCGGCAGCGAGCGAGGGCGGGCGCGGGCGGUCGACCGGGCGGAAGGCGUCGGGCGCUGGGGCUGGCCUGGGGCCGAAUGGCCAGUGGGCUGGCUGGCCUGGCGCGCUGGCUAGGCGCGCGCGUCCCUGGGCCGAACUGGUUUCGGUCCAGGCGGGCGAGUGCGUGCGUGUGUUUUUUUUAAACAGAACACUAUAGUGGUCAUAAUUAAUUCAAAAGAAUUAAUAAAAACACCGCAAUAAUUUAUAAAAUAACUAUGCAAUAUUUAAAGCCUAAUGAACAUUAACUUAAGCACAGAACAUUUUGAAAAUAUUUCCUAAUGCAAUUAAUGCACUUUUUGCAGAUAAAAUAAAUACCAAAUAAACUCCAAAACUUCAAAUAGUAUUCAAAAUAAAAUUUCCCACUCUUUUAUAUUUUGAGGAAGUCUUCUUAUCCCCUCUCAUUUGUUUUUCUCGAGUGGAAAAUAUUAUUUGAAUAUUUUUUUAAAAAACUCCAAAAAUGCAAAGAAAUAUGAUAUGCAUUGAAUGAUUCUAUUAACAUCCGAAUUUAAUAAAAAUUGGGAUGUUACACCAGUACAUGGGUGAAGCCGCUCCUGCCAGUUCUCAGUGGUCCAACCAUAUCUAAUCCCCAAAUAGAGAAGGGCCAGACGAUUGGAAUGGUCUUCAGGGCGGAGGUGGGCUUGUGCGACAAAUUGGAGUAGAACUGACAUCCUUCACACUUGUCGACUAUCUCUUUCACCAUUUCAUUUGCUCUGGGCCAGUAAAAACCCGCUCGGUAUGCUUUAGCCGCAAUAGGCCAAGAGGAAGCAUGAUGACCACAGGUCCCCGAGUGGAUGUCAUUAAGAAUUAUCUGACCCUCUUCUGGCGUUAUACAUUUCUGACUGGCUCCAGUCGCGCUUUCUCUAUACAACUGUCCCUUCAUCACAGUAAAGGCCUUGGAUCGACGAACGAUCUGUCGAGCCUCUUCUUCAUUCUCUAGGAGCUCUUUCCUUAGGAUAUACGCGAUGUAUGACACUGUCCAGUCGGGGGUGAUAACCAAAACUUCCAUGACCAAGUGAACCACGGCUGGGACCUCGACUUUAGUCGGAUCCGUGGCACUUUUUGGCUGCGGGGCUUCUUUGGUGAAAGGAUCCUCUUGAACCGACGGUGCGUGGAUAUGUUCCAAAAACACACCACUGGGAAUAGCUUCUCUCUUGGAACCUAUCUUUGCCAAAUCAUCAGCUACUUGAUUUUUCAGUCGGGGUAUAUGAUGAAGCUCUAACCCCUCGAAUUUCUUCUCCAGCUUUCUUACUGCAUUGCAGUAACCAGUCAUGGCUGGACUUCUAACGUCCCACUCCUUCAUCACUUGGUUAACCACCGAAUUUGAGUUGCCGUAAACUAUAAGGCGAUGGACGCCGAGUGAAAUGGCCAUACGCAACCCAUACAAAAGUGCUUCAUAUUUUGCUUCGUUGUUGGAGGAAUCAAAGUGAAUCUGGAGUACAUAUCUGAGCUUAUCUCCUCGAGGGGAAACCAACACUACCCCAGCACCGAAACCAUUCAGCAUCUUAGAGCCAUCAAAGAACAUGGUCCAGUGCUCCGAGUGAACUUGAGUCGGCAGUUUCUGUUCAGUCCACUCGGCGAGGAAAUCUGCUAUUGCUUGGGACUUGAUAGCUUUCUUUGCCUCAAAUCUGAUAUCCAGGGGAAGGAGUUCAAUCGCCCAUUUUGCCACUCGACCAGUUGCAUCUCUGUUGUGCAGAAUCUCUGACAAUGGGGCGUCGCUGACGACUGUAAUGGUAUGGUCAGAGAAGUAAUGAGCAACUUUCUUUGUGGUCAUAUAAAUCCCAUAUACAAGCUUCUGAUAGUGAGGGUAUCUUUGCUUUGAUGGGGUCAGAACUUCAGAAAUAUAAUAUACUGGGCGCUAAACUUUGAAGGCUUUUCCUUCUUCUUCCUGCUCGACCGUAAGUAUUGUACUGACAACUUGUCCUGUGGCUGCAAUGUAAAGCAGCAAAGGCUCUUUGCUGAUCGGGGCAGCAAGCACCGGCUGGGUGGAAAGCAGGGCUUUUAGCUCUGCAAACGCUGCAUCAGCUUCAGGAGUCCACUCGAACUUGUCUGACUUCUUCAUCAGUCGAUAAAGAGGCAAUGCCUUUUCACCGAGACGAGAGAUGAAUCGACUUAAAGCGGCCAAGCAACCAGUAAGCUUCUGAACAUCGUGCACACGCACAGGUCGUUUCAUUCGGAGUAUAGUGCCCACUUUCUCUAGAUUUGCAUCGAUUCCUCGUUCGGAAACGAGAAAACCAAGUAAUUUUCCGCCGGGAACUCCGAAUGUGCACUUUGAUGGAUUAAGCUUGAUAUCAUACCUCCUGAGGUUGGCAAAUGUUUCAGCAAGGUCAGUUAGCAGGUCGGAACCUUUCCUUGACUUGACCACAAUAUCAUCCAUGUACGCUUCCACAUUCCGACUGAUUUGAGUGAGUAAACACUUCUGAAUCAUCCUCAUGAAUGUGGCUCCGGCAUUCUUGAGGCUGAAUGUCAUGGUGACAUAACAGAAGCACCCGAAUGGGGUGAUGAAAGCUGUUUUGAUCUCAUCGGGUCCAUACAGACGGAUCUGAUGGUACCCAGAAUAGGAGUCUAAGAAAGACAGUCGCUCACACCCCGCAGUCGAGUCGACUAUUUGGUCGAUGCGGGGGAGAGGAAAAUGAUCUUUCGGGCAGGCCUGAUUGAUAUGUUUAAAGUCAAUGCACAUGCGAAGUGACUUGUCCUUCUUGGGGACCAUGACAACAUUGGCGAGCCACUCGGAUUGGUAAAUUUCACGGAUAAACUCUGCUGCUAAGAGCCGAGCCACCUCCUCGCUGAUGGCCUUCCUUUUCUGGAUGGCGCGCCAUCGCAGAUGUUCUUUGAUAGGUUUUGCCUUUGAGUCGACUCGUAGAUGGUGCUCAGCCAGCCCCCUGGGAACACCCGGCAUGUCAGAAGGUUUCCAUGCAAAGAUGUCCCUGUUCUCACGGAGGAACUGGAUGAGCGCUUCUUCCUAUUUGGGGUCGAGCGUUGUGGAGAUAUUAGUCGGAGCAGCAUUGGGGUUGGUCGGGUGGAUGUGAACCGGUUUUGUCUCACCGGACGACUGAAAUGCUGGUUCCGUAGCAGGCUUCUUGGCUCGCAACAAAUCACUCGGGUCUGCAUUUUUCUGGUGUUCCUGCCACUCUUCUGCUACCAUCUGAGCAUCGGCAAUCUUUGAGCCCUUAUGAAAGCACUCUUCCGCCUUCUUCCGAUUGCCAGUAACAGUGAUCACACCUUUAGGGCCAGGCAUCUUCAAUUUGAGGUACACGUAGCAUGGUCGAGCCAUAAAACGUGCAUAAGCUGGCCUGCCCAAAAUAGCGUGGUAGGCACUCUCGAAAUCCACAACUUCAAAUGUCAACUUUUCUUUACGAAAAUUUUUGGAAUCACCAAAAACCACAUCAAGAGCAAUCUGGCCGAGUGAUGCAUCCUUCUUGCCAGGAAUGACUCCAUAGAAACUCAUGUUGCUGGUACUGAGUCUGGACAUCGGAAUGCCCAUCCCUUUCAGUGUCUCCGCGUACAGUAUAUACAUGCUACUGCCACCAUCCAUCAACACUUUAGUCAGUCGAGUGCCUUUGACAACUGGGUCGACCACCAGAGCUUGCCUCCCAGGGGUGGAUAUGUGUGUCGGGUGAUCAGACUGGUCGAAUGUGAUGGCAGUCUGAGACCAUUUCAGAUAAUUGGUGUUGCCGGCCCAACCAUAUUCACUUCUCGGUUGAUAACUUUCAAUCGACUUUUGCUUUCAACGUCAGCAAAAAUCAUCAGGGUGGAAUUGACCUGGGGAUACCCAUCAUCACUAUCCUCUUUGUCAUCAACUUUGUCCGACUCCUUUUCCUUAUCCUUGGGUUGUUUCCCUGGAAUUGCUGGAUCAAGAGCCGACACUGUCGAGUGGUAUGUUUCGGGUAAAUGAAGUUACCCUCUUCAUCUUUCUUCGUGUGGAUGUGGCAUGGAAAAUCCAUCACGUCAUUUCCCUCCUUGUCUUUCACCUUCUUAGGGUUUCAAGGCCCUUUGGGCUUCCCUUUAAACUUUCCUUGAGUCACGGCUAAGGCUUCUCCAAGAGCAGCUGGCUCGGCUUUCUGUUUCUGCUUCCGACUAGAGUUCCCUCCUCCGGUUUCGUGGGCGACUGACUUGUGCUUGCCACUCCGGAGCCGAUCCUCUUCUUCACCAUUGGCAUACUUGAUGGCUAUCUCCACCAUUCGACUCAGAGACAUGUCUCCGAUUCGACCGAAUUUCAGGUUCAGCUCUCUGUACUUAACGCCUUCCUUGAAGGCACAGACUGCCUGGUGAUCAGAUACAUUUUCUACCAUGUGAUGCAAUGUGAUCCAUCUCUGGAUGUAAUCUCUCAAAGUCUCAUUCGACUUCUGCACACAAGUUUGCAGCUCUGUCAAUCCUGCUAGUCGCUUGCAAGUUCCUUCAAACAUUCUGACAAACACUCGUGAAAGAUCUUCCCAAGUGUAAAUGCUGCUGGGUGCUAACUGAUUCAGCCAUGCUCUGGCUGAGCCCUCGAACAUAAGGGGUAGAUGCUUCAUGGCCACCUUGUCAUUGCCGCCGCCGAUCUGAACAGCCACUCGGUAGUCCUCAAGCCAAGUAUCAGGCUUGGACUCACCAGUGAACUUACUGACUCCAGUCGCCAACCUCAAGUUGGGAGGAAUCACCGCGGCCCUGAUGGCUCUGCUGAAACACUCUGGUCCUGAGACAUGCACUCUGCUGCUGGUGGGCAAAUCUCUAUCGUGACCCUCUCGGUGAGCUCUGUUCCUGUCAACCAGACCUUGAACGAUGAUGGAUCUCGCAUCAAAGUCUGGUUCCCUGGGGUCGACUGGAAUCCUUCGCCCAACACUGUGAUGGCAUCUAUCAUCCUGCUGUCGAGGCAUGUACGAUCCGCCCCUUGGGAGAGGGGUGGGCACUCGACGUCGAUCAUCGCGAUCGAUUCGGUGAUCGUACUGCUCACGGUUCUUGUACUGAUCAUGCCGGUCUCCACACCCUUCGCGCCUUAGGGGUGAUCUGGGGCUGUGAGCCGACUGGACUGUAUUUGCAGCUACGGAUCUGCUGUGAAUCCUAUUCUGCGACAGCGAUACAGCUAGAUUUUGAUCCCCUGCUGCCCGGAGUAAAUCUCUGAUCUACAUCAAGCCUCUGCCAGCCUCUGACUGGGAAGGCUGAAUCGACUCUGUGAUACGGGCCGCAACUGCUAAAUUCUGAAUCGGAGUUCGGUAUACCUGAGUCGGUGGUGGGAAGAGCUGACGUCGACUGGAGUCCGGAACCCGUUGCCAUGCACGCUCGUCGAGUGCUCGUUGAAGGUUCUCCAGUCGAGUGCGCUAGGCCAAGUUGGCCAAGCGCGCGUCCUCUAAGGCACGAGCCUCAGGGGUUUCUCCAACGAUAGGAGUGUGUAGCGCAUCCAUGUUCCAGCAGCGAAGAUCUUCCCUCUGCAGUGAAUUGAGGGGCUCGGGGAGAUACUCCUGAUGAGCAUGCGACGGAUCGCCUCCGCCAUCGCCUCCUUCGACGCCGGGAAAGCCGGGAGGACUGCGUGGUCCAUCGACCAUCAGAACCUUCGCCGCUGGAUCACUGCUGUCGCACUCGGAUGUAGUCUCUGCGGAGCCAGUCGACAGGUCGAACAAGCCGUAGAGAGAUUCGUCGGGCUCGAUUGCCACGACUUGGGGGUGGCCGACUGGCGGGCCACCGCGUGCCUCACCCACCACUGAAGCCUCGACCGACCGGAGCGCUUGCGUCAGCGGGAAGCAGGGAUGGAGGAUGACAUAACAACCGACCGAUACUGGGUCGACGGUUGCCGCAGGAGGACGUCGCGGACGCACGCACGAAAGUGCGUCGCUCCGCGGACUGGGAGCGCGUCGACGUCGAGCGGAGCCUCCUGAAGCCAAGCAGAGUCGUCGGCGACGAACGUGAGCGCGCCGAGACGGAUCUCGCGGCCCUCAACCAAAACUCCGCCUGAAACCAUGAUGAAGGAGAUCGGAAAAAUUUGCAACUUCUCCAAUAAGUCACUAAGACACCUGCCCCACGGUGGGCGCCAACUGUCGUGGUUCUUAGUCUGACAGUAGUGUAGGGGGGUACUAAUGGAGAGGCAAGAUCCUAGCUAUGGAGUAGUUGUAUACGUGAGAGGUUUACGAGUUCAGGCCCUUCUCGGAGGAAGUAACAGCCCUACGUCUCGGAGCCCGGAGGCGGUCGACUGGAUUAUAUGUGUAUGAGUUAUAGGGGUGCGAACCCUUUACACUGAGGAGGAGGGUGGCUUAUAUAGAGUUUGCCAGACCCCUCCGGCCCUCAGUUAUGCAGGGUUUAAGAUACAUUAAGGUUGGGCGUUACUGGUAACGCCAUACAUAAAGUGUUAUGAUGACCAUAAAAGCUACUUAAUGACCGACCGUUGGCGUGCAGAGUGACUUUAGAUCACCUGGUCGUCGAGUGUUUGGCUUCAUGGUCGAGUGUUUGGCUUCACGGUCGAGUGUCCUCGAGUCCGUCGAGUGGAAUACUUCUGAGUCGAUUGACAGGUGGUUUCUUCUAGAGGUGUCGUUGGGUAGGAUAUUUUGGACAGGUCCAUGAGCCUGCCCUGGGUACAUGGCUUCAUCAACGAUUGCUUUGAUUUCCCCCUCCCGGAGGGAAGUUUCCCUGAUAGAACAGUUUUGUUGGAGCCCUAGGUUGGUUCUGCCUAGGUUCCGCCUUGAUACGACGGUGCCUCGUCCCGAAAGGUUUCUUCUUAUUAUUUUUCAGGUCAAAACACACCAUAUAGCAGAAGAUGGGCACCGAAGGCCUAACAUGGGGCUCACAAGGCAGGGGCGCGCCCCCACCCUGGUGGAUGGCUGGUGGCCCCCUUCUAGUGCUUUCUUUGCCCAAUAUUUUUUAUUAAUUCCAAAAUGACUCUCCGUGAAGUUUCAGGAAUUUUGGAGUUGUGCGGAAUAGGUCUCUAAUAUUUGCUCCUUUUCCAGAAUUCCAGCUGCCGACAUUCUCCCUCUUCAUGUAAACCUUGUAAAAUAAGAGAGAAAAGGCAUAAGUAUUGUGGUAUAAUGUGUAAUAACAUCCCAUAAUGCAAUAAAUAUCAAUAUAAAAGCAUGAUGCAAAAUGGACAUAUCAGCUAUCAAUCUUGUUGAGUUUGGUUCACUUUUGUUUUGAGUCACUAAAAUUUCAGAAUUUUUCAGUGGUAGAAAAUAAUGAGGAGAUUGUUGAGAGGCUCUUCGAGCUGGGGUUCGAAGGAAAAUUAAAAUGAGGAGAAGAAGGAGCCCAAGUACAACCUUCUUCGCACCAAAGAGGUUCGGCCGUGUGAAUGGCCAAGUGAUGCAUUCUUGGAGGCAGCCAAAAUUUAUGAGGAUUUCUAUUAUUUGGCUGGGAAUGCAGGCAUCACCAACUUCCUCCAUGAUAAGUGUGAAUAAUACCUCCUACUCACUAAUACUUUCAUGAAAAAAUUUCACUUUCAUGCUAGGAAAUCACCACCCACGGUAGAGUUUUAUUUAUAUGAUGAGCAUAAGGAGAUGACGCUUUAUGACUUUUGUGAGGUUUGCAAAUUACCUUAUGAGGGCAGCGUCGACGAACCACGUCCUAGAGAUGUGGAAGAUUUUAUUGAUGAAGUUGCCAUAGGGGAAGGUAGAAAGGUGUUGAAAGAGAGAGUGGCUAGUUUAUAUUUUUCCUGUUUUACGCUAUUAAUCAUUAUUUGCUGGGAGAUGUUUAAUUGGUCAUGCAGAGAGUGGAGUACUUAGUGCCCUUGACCUCGCUAUUUUAUGCCAUGCUUUACUUCGUGAUAGAAAUUUUAGUUUGGGCGCUAUGGUUGCUUCACGGUUGAGUUUAAACCAUUCAAAGGGUACUAUCUUUGGAGGUAUCUAUGCUUCCCGUCUUGCUAGACGCUUUGAGAUACCCAUUAGGCACAUGAGAGAGAGGAGAAGCUUCUACCCACUAUGUACUUAGAUUAUGACAGUAUGGUAGCACAUGAUUUAAUUAGAAAUGAUAAGGACAAGAGACUUAUCUAUAACCUGGUAUUUAGUGAGAAGACUUGUCAGAUUAUUACCUUGCAUGCACCUUCUUUGUUCGAUAUUCAUUCAGGCAGGUACCUCAUCAUGCCCGCGGACAUUUAUGCAUACUGGGAGUGGAUGUGAUCCCAAGUUCAUGAGCCAGGGCCAUCACCUGAUCCAUAUCAGCAGUCUAUUUAUCAUUGGGAGCCGCAGGAGCUCGCUAACCAGUGGAACCCCAGGAUCCUCCUCAGUACACCUGAGAGGGCUACUUUGAUCCAUGGGCCUAGACCAACUUAGGCAAAAAGCCUAAGCUUGGAGGAGUACGUAUUUCUCACCAACAUUACAUUCAUGUGCACACAUUCAUUCCAGUUGUCGGUGUUUAUAAUUUUUAUUAUAUUAUACAUGCCAGUUUAUAAUCUUUUUCCGCUUUAUUCUUGUGUGUUUGAAAAACUUUGAGAAAAAACAAAAAGAUUCCUCGUUCUUCUUUUGCUUGUUGGGAGCUUUCCCGUGUAAAUUAUUUUUCUCGUCCUUGUUUUACUUUCUUUAGAAAAACAAAAAUUCCAAAAACAUUUGAGUGUGUUUCUUUGAAUUUUUUUUAUUUUCUUUUUGGGUCGAGAGGAGAAGACCAUGAUGAAAAUGUGGAGUGGCUCUCAUUUGCAUUAUUGUUGAUCUAACAAAGAGCUCAUAUUACCUUGUCUUCUCCUUUGACUAAAUGUUUGCAGAUUCCAGCUUAGUCCAAUGCACGUGCACUACUAUUAUUAUCCACACCGCUCGGUCGUGCAAGUGAAACGCAAUAAUGAUGAUAUAUGAUGAAAUGAUUGGGAUGAGGAAAAGCUGGUAUGAACUCGACCUAUCUUGUUUUUGUAAGUAUGAUUAGUUCAUCGUUCCUGAAUCAGCCCAUUAUGAAUGAAACAUGUUUGCAAUGAAAAUUAUAGAUAAUAGUUACUCAUGACAUGCUUAAUGAGCUAGGAGUUUAUAAUGGUUUACCUUGCGUGCCAACAUGCUUCUAAAAUGGUUGUGAUGUAGUAUGAUAGGAUGGUAUCCUCCUUUGAAUGAUUCGAGUGGCUUGACUUGGCACAUGUUCACGCAUGUAGUUGAAACAAAACCAACAUAGCCUCCAUGAUAUUUAUGUUCAUGGUGAUUUAUAUCCUACUCAUGCGUGCACUCAGUGUUGGUUAAUCUCAAUGCAUGUUUAUGACCAUUGUAGCUCUAUAGUUGGUCGCUCCCCAGUCUUUUGCUAGCCUUCACUUGUACUAAGCGGGAAUAUUUCUUGUGCAUCCACUUCCAUAAACCCAAAGUUGUUCCAUAUGAGUCCACCAUACCUACCUAUAUGCGGUAUUUACUUGUCGUUCCAAGUAAAAAAUUGCAUGUGCCAAACUCUAAACCUUCAAAUUAUAAUCUGUUUUGUAUGCCCAAAUCGCUCAUGUAGUGACUAGGGGCUGUCAGUAUCUUCCAUGCUAGGUGGGUUAUUCUCAUGAUGAGUGGACUCCGCUCGUCAUUCGCAAGAAAAUGGCUGGUAAUUUGGAUGCUCACUACCAUGCUCAAAUCAAAUCAAAAUAUAACUUCAAACAAAACUCCCCCAUGAUUGUUGUUAGUUGGACGGUACCCGUUGUUUCGGACUAGCCAUGGAAUGUGCUUGUUGGUGGUACGGGAGUAAAAACAUUACCAUUCUGUUUGGGAACCGCCUAUAAUGUAUCUAGUAUGGAAGACACCGAGAUCUCUUGGUUGUUAAGUUGACAAUGGAAGCAUACCGCUAAAAAUAUUAUUUAUCUCUGUUUCAAAAACUCGAGCUCUGGCACCUUUGUCAAUCCCUGCUUCCCUCAGCGAAGGGCCUAUCUAUUUACUUUUAUUGUUGAUUCAUCAUCCUCUUAUAAAAAGCACCAGUUAGAGAGGGUCACUGUCAUUUGUAUGCAUUGUUAUUAAUUGAUAUUGAGUAUGACUGUGACUGGAUCACUUUUACCCCGAAUUACAAUAUCUAGUCAGUCCUUGAUCUUCGGGGGUGCUCUGCAUUUAUGUUUUGCAGUCUCAAAAAGGGCUAGCGAGAUACCAUUUUGUUAUAUCAUAUCAUGAUUGUUUUGGAAAAGUGUUGUCAUCCAAGAUCUAUUAUUAUUGCUUGCUAGUUGAUUAUGCCAUUAAUAUGAGUAAACGUGAGACCUAAAUGUUAUUGUGAAUAUGGUUAGUUCAUGAUCUUUGCUGAAAACCUGAAUGAUGGUUAUACAUAUUUACAACAACAAGAUCAAACAGAGUUUGUAAAAGUUUUUCUUUAUCACUUUUAGUUUAUCAAUUGAAUUGCUUGAGGAGAAGUAAUGGGUUAAGCUUGGAGGAGUUGAUAUGUCUCCAUCGUAUCUACUUUUCCAAAUCUUCUGCCCUUGUUUUGGACUCUAAUUUGCAUGAUUUGAAUGGAACUAACCCGGACUGACGCUAUUUUCAGUAGAAUUGCCUUGGUGUUAUUUUUGUGUAGAUAUAAAAGUUCUCGGAAUGACCUAAAAAUCUCCGGAGAAUAUUUUUGGAAUAAAUAAAAGAUAUUGGAAAAAUAAUCAACCGAGGGGGACUCACCUGCUGUCCACAAGGGUGGAGGGCGCGCCCACCCCCCUAGGGCGCGCCCCCUGCCUUGUGGGUCCCUUGGACCUCCACCGACCUCAACUCCAACUCCAUAUAUUCACUUUUGGGGAGAAAAAAUUUAGAGAGACGGAUUCAUCGAGUUUUACGAUACGGAGCCGCCGCUGCCUCUUGUUCUACAUCGGGAGGCCAGAUCUGGAGUCCGUUCGAGGCUGCACAGAGGGCAAAUCGAUGCCAUCAUCAUCAUCAACCUUCCUCCAUCACCAAUUUCAUGGUGCUCACCGCCGUGCGUGAGCAAUCCCAUCGUAGGCUUGCUGGACGGUGAUGGGUUGGAUGAGAUUUAUCAUGUAAUCGAGUUAGCUUUGUUAGGGUUUGAUCUCUAGUAUCCACUAUGUUCUGAGAUUGAUGUUGCUAUGCUUAAUGCUUGUCACUAGGGCCCGAGUGGCAUGAAUUUAGAUCUGAACCCUUAUGUUUUCAUGAAUAUAUUUGUGUUCUUGAUCCGAUCUUGCAAGUUGUAGACACCUGUUAUGAGUUAUGAUCUGCAUAACCCAAGGUGACAAAAAUUGGCAUUAUUUUCGGUGAUUACCGUAGUUUGAGGAGUUCAUGUAUUCACUAAGUGCUAAUUGAUAACCCACAAGUAUAGGGGAUCGCACCAGUUUUCGAGGGUAAAGUAUUCAACCCAAAUUUAUUGAUUCGACACAAGGGGAGCCAAAGAAUAUUCUCAAGUAUUAGCAGUUGAGUUGUCAAUUCAACCACACCUGGAUAACUUAGUAUCUGCAGCAAAGUAUUUAGUAGCAAAGUAGUAUGAUAGUAAUGGUAACAGUGGCAAAAGUAAUGAUAGCAGUUUUGUAGUGAUUGUAACAGUAGCAACGGAAAGUAAAUAAGCAAAGCACUAUAUGUGAAAAGCUCAUAGGCAUUGGAUCAGUGAUGGAUAAUUAUGUCGGAUGCGAUUCCUCAUGUAAUAGUUAUAACCAAGGGUGAAACAGAACUAGAUCCAAUUCACAAAUGUAAUGUAGGCAUGUAUUCGGAAUAUAGUCAUAUGUGCUUAUGGAAAAGAACUUGCAUGACAUCUUUUGUCCGACCCUCCCAUGGCAGCGGGGUCCUAAUGGAAACCAAGGGAUAUCAAGGCCUCCUUUUAAUAGAGAACCAGAACAAAGCAUUAGCACUUAGUGAAUACAUGAACUCCUCAAACUACGGUCAUCACCGAGAAGUAUCCUGAUUAUUGUCACUUUGGGGUUGUCGGAUCAUAACACAUAAUAGGUGACUAUAGACUUGCAAGAUAGGAUCAAGGACUCACAUAUAUUCAUGAAAACAUAAUAGUUUCAUGUCACACCCUAGCUAGUCAUGCAUUAGAGUGUUGCAUCAUGUUUACUUUUUCAUCAGAAACUUGAAAUGGGGAUUUGUGAAACCCUCAGAAUCAUUUUUGAAAAUGACCCAAAUAAAAAUUUCUCCAAAAGGGUCCAAGAAAAUGCUCAUGUUGCUCUCUGAAAAUAUUGGACAGAGAUAAAAAUCAAACCUAUAUUUUUAAGAGCUCAUAGGUAUUUAUUUUGGGCAUUUGGAAUUAAUGCAUAAAUAUUUGCAUUGGAAAUAUAUUAGUUAUAUAUAUUAAUAUAUGUCCAAAAAUUAUGCCACAUGUUGGGGAGCUCUGGAAUAAUAUAUCUAGCUCCUGCAAAAAUUGGCAUAAGGUAAUAAAAUGAUUUAAUAUUUUAUUUAAAUCAAAACAAAUGUCAGAAAUUAGAAAACUAAAAUAAAUAAAGAGGGAGAAGCUUACCUGGGGCUCCUCCCUGUGCAGCCCAGCAGUAGCUGGCCGGCCCAGCCAGCAGGCGGCCCAGCCCGCCUCCUCCUCUGUCGUCUUCGUCCUCGACAGAGGGAGGGGAGUGUGCCCGGCGCGCGCGCGCGCCACCGCGCCACGCCACCAGCNNNNNNNNNNNNNNNNNNNNNNNNNNNNNNNNNNNNNNNNNNNNNNNNNNNNNNNNNNNNNNNNNNNNNNNNNNNNNNNNNNNNNNNNNNNNNNNNNNNNNNNNNNNNNNNNNNNNNNNNNNNNNNNNNNNNNNNNNNNNNNNNNNNNNNNNNNNNNNNNNNNNNNNNNNNNNNNNNNNNNNNNNNNNNNNNNNNNNNNNNNNNNNNNNNNNNNNNNNNNNNNNNNNNNNNNNNNNNNNNNNNNNNNNNNNNNNNNNNNNNNNNNNNNNNNNNNNNNNNNNNNNNNNNNNNNNNNNNNNNNNNNNNNNNNNNNNNNNNNNNNNNNNNNNNNNNNNNNNNNNNNNNNNNNNNNNNNNNNNNNNNNNNNNNNNNNNNNNNNNNNNNNNNNNNNNNNNNNNNNNNNNNNNNNNNNNNNNNNNNNNNNNNNNNNNNNNNNNNNNNNNNNNNNNNNNNNNNNNNNNNNNNNNNNNNNGUUCUUCCUCUCCUCUCCCUCGCUCUCUCUUUCUCCCAUGUCCGAACGCACCCAUCGCCGCCGUUCGCCAUAGCCGCCGCCACCGGCCUCCCCUCGCCUUCCCGACUCGCGCAGGAGCUCCGCCCCCUCGCCCUGAAGCUCUUCGUCAAGCCACAAGACGCCGGACGCCCUGUGGAGCCGCCGUCGCCAUCGUCUUCCUCCUCGGGCUCCGACCACCAUCGCCGUUGAUUCGCCGUCUCUAGUGCGUCCCUGAGCCCGCUUCGACGCCCGCUGCAACCGCGGUGAGCUCCGCCACCGUUUCCCUCUCUUCUCCCCCUCGUUCCCGCGCCGUAACCCCGUCUCCCACCACGGCCGAACCUCCGCCGUCGCCGAGCUCGCCGUCGACGCAGCUCCGGUGACCAUUUGGUCACCCCGGCGAGUCCAACAAGUUCGUAAGGCCCCGUAGAGCAUCCCUAGCGCCUUGCCUCGCUCGCCUUCGAGCUCCAACCACGUUUCCGUGCACGACCGAACCCCGGCGGCCGCAGCCGAGCUCGCCGCCGUCGACUCCGGCCACCCCAGGCCCAGCCACGGCCACCGCCCGACGCGCCAUCGAGCUAGCUUUCCAACGCACCUAUCCGCACGCCGUUUGGAGCACCACAGAGGAAACCCGGGGCACAUGUACGCCGCGGACCUCGCCGGCGACUAACCGUCGGCGGGUUUGACUUGUUCGACCUGGGGUUUGACCCCCCCCCCAGAGUCACUGACGCGUGGGCCCCGUCGGCCAGGUGGUUAGCUUAGCGCUAAUCACUGUUAAUUAACCCCCCUGACACUGACCAGUGGGCCCCAGCGCCACUAACUCUUAAUUAGGAUUAACUAACCUCUGUUAAACCCCCCUGUCACUGACGUGUGGACCCCACACGUCAGGUUUGACCCCAGCCAGCCGCAGUUGACCGCUGACGUCGUGCUGACGUCAUGCUGGCGCAAUAUAUAUAUUUCUGGAUUUAAAUUAAAUCAGGAAAUUCCAGAAUAUAAUUUAAACUUCAAAAAUUCAUAACUUUUAUUCAGUAACUCCAAAUCAGACAAAUUAUAUAUGAAAAAUGAUCAGAAAAAUCCAAUCUAUCCAUCUGUACUAUUUUCAUGCAUGACUAAACAAGUUAACUUGAUGUUUAAUGCAGAACAAGGAAAAUCACUUUAAAAGGCCAUGUUUGAGUUUGAAAUUUGAAUCUUUGAUUCAAAUUGGUUCAAACCCUUCUGGUCUUAGUUGCAUUAUCCCAACACACUCAUAUUGCCAUGUUUCAUGCAUGCAUCAUAUUGUUGCACAUUGUUUGGUGAUGGUUGUGUAUCGGUGUCCUUUGCGACAGGUUCUGCCUCCGAGGAGUACUGUGAUUACCCUAACGAAGAAUCGUAUCAGUGCAUCGAACCAUCAGGCAAGCAACCAACCAUUUGAUCAUAUCGAUACAAUCCCAUGUUCUCGCUCCUGCUCUCUUUUACUGCAUUAAGACAACGCGAUUCAAACUGCUGUGUGCUAUGGUAGUUGAACCCAUUUCCUCUGCAUAACCUGUCAUUGCCACAGUAACUAGAUGAAACCCACUAGCAUGUGUAGGAGUUGAUUGAGCCAUAUGUAUGUGUUGUUCCUACCUUGCUAUGCCUGCUAUGCUUAGAGUCGGGUCAGGUCUGGUUCAUCUGGGUGAUGGGCUAGAGUGAAAUGAUUAUGUCGGUAAUGAGAGUGGUGUGGUGAACACGAUUUGGUAAAGGUAUCGAUGAGAGGCCAUGUAGGAGUACAUGGUGGGUUGUUUCAUUGAAGCCGACCUUAAGCACCGAGAUCUGUAUGUGUGAUUUAAGAAUCAGCUACUACCAUGCAUUGGGCCCGAAACCAAUGGACCCUCUCGGCUUCUUAUUCACCCUAGUCCUCCAUCCAGGAGUUGCAAGUAGUUUCUGGUGUUUGUAGCCUACUGGAGGCCGUGGACAGCGCUGACCGUAGGGGUGGGCUGUGAUGCGGUAGGUACGUGGCACGGUGUACCGAAUACCCGUUAGGUAUCUCGGGAACCCUGUUCACAUCGUUCGGGGCCGUAUGGGAAACCUCGGCCGGACUCCCUGCGGAUGGAACCUGGAUAGGCGAUAAACCUGGACUGGAGACUUAGGUGACUAGGUAGGUCGUGGCCGACACCCACGUUGGGCUUCCGCUUGAAGGUUGCCGAGUACAUGUCGUGUAAACGACGGUAAGUGGUGAGAGCGUGUAUGAAGAAGUACACCCCUGCAGGGUUAUCAUAAUCUAUUCGAAUAGCCGCGUCCGCGGUAAAGGACUACUUGGUUGCCUAUACAGUUCAUAGACAAGUAAAUGGAAACUACUAAAAGCCUCAAGAUAAGUGUGAGUGCCGAGGGUGGCUCUUCCGUAGGAAAACGGAGGCGAACCCUCGGUAGUGUAUUGAAGUGGUGAGUAGUGGACUCGUGUGCGCAAAACCAUUUCAAGUUGAGGCAUCGUAGGAUAGUCUAGCCAAGAGUCAAAGCUGGCUUGCUGCAUUAACUCCACCUACCCUUCUUGACAAUGUGCAUGUAUGUAGGAUCUGAUGUAAGUCUUGCUGAGUACCUUUGUACUCAUGUUGCUAUAAUUUACAUUUUACAGAAGACGCUGCAACCCCUUCUGAUGGGUUCUACGUAGACGUUGACAUCAACGAGUAGGCUAAAGGCCCAGGUGGUGAUCCUGAGCUUGUGAAGGACCAUGUAGUAUAGCUAGGCUUUCCAAGCCUCUUUUAUUUUACUAGUUUUCUGUACUCAGACAAGUUACUUCCGCUGCUGGUUUGUAUGACUGUAUGACUUGAAUGUUGGGUCGUGAGACCCGUACCUUGUGUAUGUUAUGUAUGGCUCCCUGAGCCUUAAAUAAAGUACUUGUGUCAUAGAGUCAUGUUGUGAUGCUUCGUUGUAUUUGCACAUAUCGAGCAUAUUGUGUGUAUGAUUGAAAUGCUUGGUAUGUGUGGGAUCUGACUACCUAGUUGUUUAUCUUUAGUAGCCUCUCUUACCGGGAAAUGUCUCCUAGUGUUACCGCUGAGCCAUGGUAGCUUGCUACUGCUCUGGAACACUUAGGUUGGCCGGCAUGUGUCCUUCUUCGUUCCUGUGUCUGUCCCUUCGGGGAAAUGUCACGCAUUGAGUACCGGAGUCCUGUUAGCCCGCUACAGCCCGGUUUACCGGAGUCCUGCUAGCCCAGUGCUACAGCCCGAACCCACUUGCUGAUGACCGACACGUUCGAAGCUGGGUCAUGGAUGCCUGUCCCUGUAAGUCUGUGCCACUUUGGGUUUACGACUAGUCAUGUCAGCCCGGGCUCCUUAUCAUAUGGAUGCUAGUGACACUAUCAUAUACGUGAGCCAAAAGGCGCAAAUGGUCCUGGGCAAAGGUAAGGCGACACCCGUGGGGAUACCGUGCGUGAGGCCGCAAAGUGAUAUGAGGUGUUACUGGCUAGAUCGAUGUGACAUCGAGUCGGGGUCCUGACAGUUCAGGUCUGAAAUCAUGGAACUCGGGCCCUAGUGAUAAGCAUUAAGCAUAGCAAAGUCAUAGCAACAUCAAUCUCAGAACAUAGUGGAUACUAGGGAUCAAACCCUAACAAAACUAACUUGAUUACAUGGUAAAUCCCAUCCAACCCAUCACCGUCGAGCAAGCCUACAAUGGAAUUAGUCACGCACGGCGAUGAGCAUCACGAAAUUGGUGAUGGAGGAUGGUUGAUGAUGACGACGAUGACGAAUCCCCCUCUCCGGAGCCCCGAACGGACUCCAGAUCAGCCAUUCCGAGAGAGAUUAGGGCUUGGCGGCAGCUCCGUAUUGUAAAACAUGAUGAAACUUUCUCUCCAAUUUUUUUCUCUGCGAAGCGGAAUAUAUAGAGUUGGAGUUGAGGUCGGUGGAGCUCCAGGGGGCCCAUGAGGCAGGGGGUUCACCCAGGGGGAGGGGGCGCGCCCCCCACCCUUGUCGACAGGGUGUGGGCCCCUAGCCUUGAUUCUUUUGCCAGUAUUUUUUAUAUUUUCCAAAAGUUAUCUCCGUGUAUUUUCAGGUCAUUCCGAGAACUUCUGUUUUCUGCACAAAAAUAACACCAUGGCAGUUCUGCUGAAAGCAGCGUCAAUCCGAGUUAGUUUCAUUCAAAUCAUGCAAGUUAGAGUCCAAAACAAGGGCAAAUGUGUUUGGAAAAGUAGAUGCGUUGGAUAUGUAUCAACUCCCCCAAGCUUAAACCUUUGCUUGUCCUUAAGCAAUUCAGUUGAUAAACUGAAAGUGAUAAAGAAAAACUUUACAAACUCGGUUUGCUCUUGUUGUUGUAAAUAUGUAAAGCCAGCAUUCAAGUUUUCAGCAAAGAUUAUGAAGUAACCUUAUUCAGAAUAACACUUAGGUCUCAUGUUUACUCAUAUCAAUGGUAUAAUCAACUAGCGAGCAAUAAUAAUAAAACUCGGAUGACAACACUUUCGCAAAACAAUUAUAAUAUGAUAUAACAAAAUGGUAUCUCACUAGCCCUUUCUGAGACCGCAAAACAUAAAUGCAGAGCACCUUUAAAGAUCAAGGACUGACUAACCAUUGUAAUUCAUGGUAAAAGAGUUCCAGUCAAGUCAUACCCAAUAUAAACUAAUAGUAAUGCAUGCAAAUGACAGCGGUGCUCUCCAGCGGGUGCUUUUUAAUAAGAGGGUGAUGACUCAACAUAAAAGUAAAUAGAUAGGCCCUUCACAGAGGGAAGCAGGGAUUUGUAGAGGUGGCAGAGCUCAAUUUUAAAAUAGAGAUGAAUAACAUUUUCAGCGGUAUACUUUCACUGUCAACGCAAUAACUAUGAGAUCUCGAUAUCUUCCAUGCUACAUACAUUAUAGGCGGUUCCCAAAUAGAAUGGUAAAGUUUAUACUCCCCAACUACCAAUAAGCAUCACUCCAUGGCUUGCUCGAAACAACGAGUGCCUCCAACUAGCAACAGCCCUGGGGGGGUUGUUUCAUUAUUUUGAUUUGCUUUGAUCUUUUUGAUCAUGGGAUUGGGCAUCCUAGUUACCAGCCAUUUUCUCGUGAAUGAGGAGCGGAGUCCACUCCCCUUGAGAAUAACCCACCUAGCAUGGAAGAUACAGACAGGCCUAGUUGAAACAUGAGCUACUCGAGCAUACAAAAUAGAAUUUCAUUUGAAGGUUUGGAUUUUGGCACAUACAAAUUUACUUGGAACGGCGGGUAAAUACCGCAUAUAGGAAGGUAUGGUGGACUCAUAUGGAAUAACUUUGGGUUUUAUGGAGUUUGGAUGCACAAGCAAUAUUCUCACUUAGUAUAAGUGAAGGCUAGAAAAAGACUGGGAAGCGACCAACUGAGAGAGCGACAACAGUCAUGAAUAUGCAUUAAAAUUAAUCAACACCGAGUGCAAGCAUGAGUAGGAUAUAAUCCACCAUGAACAUAAAUAUCGUGAAGGCUAUGUAGAUUUUGUUUCAACUACAUGCGUGAACAUGUGCCAAGUCGAGUCACACAAUUCAUUCGAAGGAGGAUACCACCCUAUUAUACCACAUCACAACCAUUUUAAUAGCAUGUUGGCACGCAAGGUAAACCAUUAUAAGCUCCUAGCUAAUUAAGCAUGGCAUAAGCAACUAUAAUCUCUAAUUGUCAUUGCAAACAUGUUUAUUCAUAAUAGGCCGAAUCAGGAACGAUGAACUCAUCAUAUUUACAAAAAAAGAUAGGUUGAGUUCAUACCAUCUUCUCUCAUCCCAAUGAGUCCAUCAUAUAUCAUCAUUAUUGCCUUUCACUUGCACGACCGAACGGUGUGGAUAAUAGUAAUAGUGCACGUGCAUUGGACUAAGCUGGAAUCUGCAAGCAUUCAAUUCAAGGGAGAAGACAAGGUAAUAUGGCUCUUGGUUAAAUCAACAAUCAUGCAUAUGAGAGCCACUAAAAAUUUUCAUUAUAGUCUUCUCCUCUCGACCCCCAAAGGAAAGAAAAGAAAAUAAAACUAUUUACACGGGAAAGCUCCCAACAAGUAAAAGAAGAACGAGAAAUCUUUUGGGUUUUCUUUUAACUACUACUACAAGCAUGGAAAUUGAACUAACUAAUUUUUUUUGGUUUUCUUAAGGUUUAUCAAACAUGCAAGAAGAAAGCUAGAAAAAGAAAUUAAACUAGCAUGGAUAAUACAAUGAAAGAGUAUGAGCACCGACAACUAGAAUGAGUGUGUGAACAUGAAUGUAAUGUCGGUGAGAGAUAAGUACUCCCCCAAGCUUAGGCUUUUGGCCUAAGUUGGUCUAUGCCCAAGGAUCGCGGCUACUCUCCCCGGCGUACUGAGGAGUGUCAUCAGGAUACCACUUGCUGGCGAUCUCCUCCGGAUCCCACUUAUAAGAUGAUGGACGAUAAGGGUCCAGUGGUGGUUUCGGCUCAGGCUCUAGAGCGGAUGUCUUGCCUCGAUGCACGUACACAGCCUUCGGCAAGACGAGGUAAUGGCCUGCAGUUAAAUCAAACAAAGAAGGUGCAUGCAAGAUAAUAGUCUCAUUGUGUUUCUUAUUAAAUCUCAGGUUAUACAAGAGCAUUUUAUCAUCAUUGUCAAUAAUAAACUCAUGCGCUACCAUGCUCCUGUAAUCUAAAAAGGUAAGAGGCAGCAGUGUCUCCUCUUUCUCAUCAUGCCUAAUAGGUAUCUUGAAAUGUUUAGCAAGGCAUGCAACAUAGAUACCUCCAAAGAUGGGGACCUUGGUGCGGUUCAGGCUUAACCGCUUAGCAAUAACGGCACCCAUAAUAAAAGUGUUAUCACCAAAUAAGGCAUGGAACAGAAUAAUAAUGUCAGGAACACUAAAGUUUCCACAGUUUCCACGACCAAUUAAGCAUCGACUAGGAAAUAUAGCAAAGUAGCAUAAAACAGGAAAAUGUAUGCUAGUUAUUCUUGCAUAGAAACGUUCCUCGAUUCCCCUACCGCAAUAGUGUCAAUAAAACCAUCCACAUCUUUACAAUGUGGUUCAUCUAAACUACCAUAAAAGGGUAUUCUACAAACCGCGCAAAAAUUACGUAAUGACAUUUCCUUAGCCUCAUCAUAUAAAUGAAAAGCUACUGAAGGUGGUGAAUUCUUAGGAUAAUAGUAAAAGUUUUGCAUGAAAGUAUUGGUAAGUAAGAGAUAUUGUUUGACCCGGUCAUGGAGGAAGUUGGUGAGGCUUCCGCUACGCGAGGAAGAUUAUACUUGGCCUUUUAUUUCUCCUUAGCUUGUUUAUCCUUGGAGCUUUGGCUAGAAGAGCCCCUCAAGAACAAUCUCUUCAUCUUUUUCUGAAAAUUUCUGAAAUUUUUAGUAACUUCAAAAUAAAAGUGAAUCAAACUAAACAAGAUUGAUAGCAACUACUCCCACAAGUGCCUAUAGCCUAUAUCAUGCAUUAGAAUUACUUGUGACCUCAUAAAUUUGACAUGCAAGCUCAAGAACAGGGCCACCUAGGCAGCAAAAAUUUGCAAUGAAUAAAGCACUAGAACAAAAACUAAUUGGACCAUUGGAGGAGUCACAUACCAAGGAACAAUCUCCCAAAGCAAUUUUGUGAAUGGAGCUUUGAGCAACGAGAUCAAAAAUCGCAGCAAAAUGAGCUAGUAGUCGUGCUUGAGCUGGAUGGGGAUUUUUUUUGGGAGGAAGAUGGAGUGUGUGGGUGCAGGAAUAAGUGGAGGGGGGCCACCAUGGGACCACGAGGCAGGGGGCACGCCCAGUAAGAGUGGGCGCGCCCUGGACCAUCGUGGCCAGGUGCUUGCCCCCCUAAUGUGUUCUUAGUGCCUAAAAUCCUCAAAUUUUCCAUAAAAAUCAUACUAAAUUUGCAAGGCAUUUGGAGAACUUCCAUUUUCGGGAUAUUAUUUUAUUGCAUGGAUAAUUCAGAAAACAGACAUAUAAUAGUAUUUUGCUUUAUUUAUUGUAAAUAACAGAAAGUAAAAAGAGGGUACAGAAGGUUGUGCCUUCUAGUUUCAUCCAUCUCGUGAUCAUCAAAAGGAAUCCACUAACAAGGUUGAUCAAGUCUUGUUAACAAGCUCAUUCCAAAUAACAUGGAACCGAAGAAAUUUCGAAUAACACUAGGUUAGCUCAACGGGGAUAUGAACAUCGCCAACAAUAAGAAUAUCAAAAAAAAUCUUGACAGUAGGAAGAGGGAAUUCAAAACCUCCAAUAAUGAUAGUUGGACUUUUUCCAAUAGAAUUGAUGCUAUGAACUUGAGGUUGUUUCCUCAGAAAGUGUACCGUGUGCUCAUUACCAUUAACAUGAAAAGUGACAUUGCCAUUGUUGCAACCAAUAACAGCCCCUGUAGUAUUCAAAAAGGGUCUACCAAGGAUAAUCGACAUACUAUCGUCCUCGGGAAUAUCAAGAAUAACAAAGUCCGUUAAGAUAGUGACAUUUGCAACCACAACAGGCACAUCCUCACAAAUACUGACAGGUAUAGCAGUUGAUUUAUAAGCCAUUUGCAAAGACAUUUCAGUAGGUGUCAACUUAUUCAAUUCAUGUCUACGAUAUAAAGAGAGAGGCAUAACACUAACACCGGCUCCAAGAUCACAUAAAGCAGUUUUAACAUAAUUUCUUUUAAUGGAGCAUGGUAUAGUUGGUACUCCUAGAUCUCCAAGUUUCUUUGGUAUUCCACCCUUAAAUGUAUAAUUAGCAAGCAUGGGGGAAAUUUCAGCUUCCGGUAUCUUUCUUUUAUUUGUAAUGAUAUCCUUCAUGUAUUUAGCAUAAGGAUUUACUUUAAGCAUAUCAGUUAAGCGCAUACGUAAGAAAAUAGGUCUAAUCAUUUCAGCAAAGCGCUCAAAAUCCUCAUCAUCCUUUUUCUUGGAUGGCUUAGGAGGAAAAGGCAUGGGUUUCUGAACCCAUGGUUCUCUUUCUUUACCGUGCUUCCUAGCAACAAAGUCUCUCUUAUCAUAACAUUGAUUCUUUGAUUGUGGGUAUCAAGAUCAACAGCAGGUUCAAUCUCUACAUCAUUAUUAUUUCUAGGUUGAGCAUCAACAUGAACAUUAUCAUCAACAUUAUCACUAGGUUCAUGUUCAUCACCUGAUUGUGUUUCAGCAUCGGAAAUAGAAAUAUCAUUGGGAUUCUCAGGUGUGUCUACAACAGGUUCACUUGAAGCAUGCAAAGUCCUAUCGUUUUUCUUUUUCUUCUUUUUAGAAGGACUAGGUGCAUCUACAUUAUUUCUCUGAGAAUCCUGCUCGAUUCUCUUAGGGUGGCCUUCAGGAUACAAAGGUUCCUGAGUCAUCUACCAGUUCUAGUAGCCACUCUAAUAGCAAAAACAUGUUUAUUAUUUAAUUCAUCGAGCAAAUCACUUUGAGCUUUAAGUACUUGCUUUGCUUGAGUGGUAACCAUAGAAGCAUAUUUGAUAAUGAGUUUAAGUUCACCUUUAACUCUAGCCAUAUAAUCACUCAAGCAUCCAAUCAUGUGAGCAUUACUCUUUAAUUCUCUACCAACACAAGCAUUGAAACUUUCUUGUCUAGCCGUAAAGGCAUCUUAUUCAUCUAAACAUUGGCUAGGAAAUUUAGUAGACGAGAUUUCAACCUUAUCAUAUCUAUAGAGAGAAUUUACCUUUACUACCUGUGUCGAGUUAUCAAGAAAAUGUGUUCCUUCGACAGGCGGUAUAUUAAGACCAUGUAUUUCUUCAAUAGGAGGUAAAUUCUUAACAUCUUCAGGUUUAAUACCUUUUUCUUUUGUUGAUUUCUUUGCCUCUUGCAUAUCUCCAGGUCUGAGAAAUAAAACUCCCCUCUUCUUCGGAGUUGGUUUAGGAAUAGGCUCAGGAGUUGGCUCAGGAAUUGGCUCAGGAAGAGUCCAAUUAUUUUCAUUAGUCAACAUAUUAUUCAAUAACAAUUCAGCUUGGUCGACUGUUCUUUCCCUGAAAACACAACCAGCACAACUAUCCAAGUGGUCCUUGGAAGCAUCGGUUAGUCCAUUAUAAAAGAUAUCAAGUAUUUCAUUUUUCUUAAGAGGAUGAUCAGGCAAAGCAUUAAGUAAUCGGAGAAGCCUCCCCCAAGCUUGUGGGAGACUCUCUUCUUCAAUUUGCACAAAAUUAUAUAUUUCCCUCAAGGUAGCUUGUUUCUUAUGAGCAGGGAAAUGUUUAGCAGAGAAGUAAUAGAUCAUAUCCUGGGGACUACGCACACAUCAAGGAUCAAGAGAAUUAAACCAAGUUUUAGCGGCACUCUUUAAUGAGAACGGAAAUAUCUUAAGGAUAUAAUAAUAGCAAGACUUCUCAUCAUUAGUGAACAGGGUGGCUAUAUCUUUCAGCUUAGUAAGAUGUGCCACAACAGUUUCAAAUUCAUAGCCAUAAAAAGGAUCAGAUUCAACCAAAGUAAUUAUCUCAGGAUCAACAGAGAAUUCAUAAUCCUUAUCAGUAACAAAAAAUAGAUGAAGUAGCAAAAGGAGGGUCAUGUUUCAUUCUAGAGAUUGCUGCUUACAUUUAGCUAAUAAUUUCUUAAGAUCAUAUCUAUCAUUGCAAGCAAGAAUAGCUCUAUCUUCAUCCAUAACAUAACCCUCUAGAAAAACAGGCAAUUCAUACUUAGGGGGAGAACCUUCAUCAGCACUAUCAUCAAUAAUAUCAUCUUCAAUAAUUUCAUUCUCUCUAACCCAAGCAAAUUGUUCAUCUAGAAAUUCACCUAAUGGCAAGGUAGUAUCAAGCAUAGAAGUAGUUUCAUCAUAAGUAUCAUGCAUAGCAUAAGUGGCAUCAUCAAUAACAUGCGACAUAUCAGAAUUCAUACCAGUAGCAGGUUUAGGUGUCGCAAGCUUGCUCAAAAUAGAAGGAGAAUCUAGUGCAGAGCUAGAUGGCAAUUCCUUACCUCCCCUCGUAGUUGAGGGAAAAAUCUUAGUUCUUUCGUCUUUCAAGUUCCUCAUAGUGAUCAGCAGAUAUAAAUCCCAAGUGACUCAAAGAAUAGAGCUAUGCUCCCCUGCAACGGUGCCAGAAAAUAGUCUUGAUAACCCACAAGUAUAGGGGAUCGCAACAGUUUCCGAGGGUAAAGUAUUCAACCCAAAUUUAUUGAUUCGACAGAAGGGGAGCCAAAGAAUAUUCUUAAGUAUUAGCAGUUGAGUUGUCAAUUCAACCACACCUGGAUAACUUAGUAUCUGCAGCAAAGUAUUUAGUAGCAAAGUAGUAUGAUAGUAAUGGUAACAGUGGCAAAAGUAACGAUAGCAGUUUUGUAGUGAUUGUAACAGUAGCAACGGUAAAGUAAAUAAGCAAAGCACAAUAUGUGAAAAGCUCGUAGGCAUUGGAUCAGUGAUGGAUAAUUAUGUCGGAUGCGAUUCCUCAUGUAAUAGUUAUAACCUAGGGUGACACAGAACUAGGUCCAAUUCAUCAAUGUAAUGUAGGCAUGUAUUCCGAAUAUAGUCAUACGUGCUUAUGGAAAAGAACUUGCAUGACAUAUUUUGUCCUACCCUCCCAUGACAGCGGGGUCCUAAUGGAAACUAAGGGAUAUUAAGGCCUCCUUUUAAUAGAGAACCGGAACAAAGCAUUAGCACUUAGUGAAUACAUGAACUCCCCAAACUACGGUCAUCACCGAGAAGUAUCCCGAUUAUUGUCACUUCGGGGUUGUCGAAUCAUAACACAUAAUAGGUGACUAUAGACUUGCAAGAUAGGAUCAAGAACUCAUAUAUAUUCAUGAAAACAUAAUAGGUUCAGAUCUGAAAUCAUGGCACUCGGGCCCUAGUGACAAGCAUUAAGCAUAGCAAAGUCAUAGCAACAUCAAUCUCAGAACAUAGUGGAUACUAGGGAUCAAACCCUAACAAAACUAACUUGAUUACAUGGUAAAUCUCAUCCAACCCAUCACCGUCGAGCAAGCCUACAAUGGAAUUAGUCACGCACGACGGUGAGCAUCAUGAAAUUGGUGAUGGAGGAUGGUUGAUGAUGACGACGGCGACGAAUCCCCCUCUCCGGAGCCCCAAACGGACUCCAAAUCAGCCCUCCCGAGAGAGAUUAGGGCUUGGCGGCGGCUCCAUAUCGUAAAACGUGAUGAAACUUUCUCUCCGAUUUUUUUCUCUGUGAAACGGAAUAUAUAGAGUUGGAGUUGAGGUCGGUGGAGCUCCAGGGGGCCCACAAGGCAGGGGGCGCGCCCAGGGGAGGGGGCGCGCCCCCACCCUCGUGGACAGGGUGUGGGCCCCCUGGCCUUGAUUCUUUCGCCAGUAUUUUUAUAUUUUCCAAAAGUUAUCUUCGUGGAUUUUCAGGUCAUUCUGAGAACUUUUGUUUUCUGCAUAAAAGUAACACCAUGGCAGUUCUACUGAAAACAGCGUCAGUCUGGGUUAGUUUCAUUCAAAUCAUGCAAGUUAGAAUCCAAAACAAGGGCAAAAGUGUUUGGAAAAGUAGAUACGUUGGAGACGUAUCACUAAUGCUUUGUUCUAGUUCUCUAUUAAAAGGAGGACUUAAUAUCCCUUAGUUUCCAUUAGGACCCCGCUGCCACGGGAGGGUAGGACAAAAGAUGUCAUGCAAGUUCUUUUCUAUAAGCAUGUAUUACUAUAUUCGGAAUGCAUGCCUACAUUAUAUUGGUGAAUUGGAGCUAGUUCUGUGUCACCCUAGGUUAUAACUAUUGCAUGAUGAAUGCCAUCCUACAUAAUUAUACAUCAUUGAUCCAUUGCCUAUGAGCUUUUAACAUAUUGGUCUUUGCUAAGUUACUUUUCUGUUGCCACUGUUACAAUUGCUACAAAACUGCUACUAUUACUUUUGCCACCGUUACCGUUACUUCCAUACUACUUUCCUAGUAUAUACUUUGCUGCAGAUAUUAAGUCUUUCAGGUGUGGUUGAAUUGACAACUCAGCUGCUAAUACUUGAGAAUAUUCUUUGGCUGCCCUUGUGUCGAAUCAAUAAAUUUGGGUUGAAUACUCUACCCUCGAAAACUGGUGCGAUCCCCUAUAUACUUGUGGAUUAUAAAGAGUCACUCUGAGUAUCAGAUAGCUAUCUCUGGGCCCUCUCGAUAAUACACAUCAUAAGCUUGCAAGAAAACAACUAAGGAGUUAGUCAUGAGGUGAUGUAUUACAGAACGAGUAAGGAGACUUACUGGUAUUGAGAUUGAACUAGGUAUGAAGAUACCGACGAUCGAAUCUCGGGCAAGUAACAUACGGAUGGAAAAAGGGAAUUACGUAUGUUGUCAUAAGGGUUCGACCGAUAAAGAUCUUUGUCAAAUAUGUAGGAGCCAAUAUGGGCAUCCAGGUUCCGCUAUUGGUUAUUGAUCGGAUAGGUGUCUCGGUCAUGUCUACAUAGUUCUUGAACCCGUAGGUCCGCACGCUUAAUGUUUGUUGACGAUAUAGUGUUAUAUGAGUUAUAUGUUUUGGUGACCGAAUGUUGUUCGGAGUCCCGGAUGAGAUCACGGACAUGACGAGUAGUCUUGAAAUGGUCAAGACGUAAAGAUUGAUAUAUAGGACGAUGGUAUUUGGACACCGGAAGUGUUUCAAGACUUACCAGGAAGGAAUCGGGUAACCGAAAGGGGUUCCGGGCACCCCCCCCCCCCGGCAAGUUAUGGGCCUUAUGGGCCAAUUGAGGGGACAGGCCAGCCCAUAAGGGGGCUGGUGUGCCUCCUCCCUUGUUUGGCCAGCCCUAGGGAAGGAAAAGGGGGAGGGCUAGUGAUACGUCUCCAACGUAUCUAUAAUUUUUGAUUGUUCCAUGCUAUUGUAUUAUCUAUUUUGGAUGUUUUAUAUGCAUUAAUAUGCUAUUUUAUAUUAUUUUUGGGACUAGCCUAUUAACAUAGAGCCCAGCGCUAGUUUCUUUUUUUACCUGUUUUAGAGUUUCGCAGAAAAGGAAUACCAAACGGAGUCCAAACGGAAUAAAACUUUUGUGAUGAUCUUUCUUGGACUAGAAGCAAACCAGGAGACUUGGAGAUGAAGUCGGAGAAGCGACGAGGCGGCCACGAGGGUGGAGGGCGCACCCCCGUACCUCGUGGGGCCCUCAGAGCUCUCCUAACCCAAUUCUUUUGCCCAUAUAUACUCUUAUACCCCAAAACCAUCAGGGGGAGCCACGAAAACACUUUUCCACCACCGCAACCUUCUGUACCCGUGAGAUCCCAUCUAGGGGCAUUUUCCGGCGUCCUGUCGGAGGGGGAUUCGAUCACAAAGGGCUUCUACAUCAACACCAUUGCCCUUCCGAUGAAGCGUGGGUAGUUUACCACAGACCUACAGGUCCAUAGCUAGUAGCUAGAUGGCUUCUUCUCUCUCUUUGAUUCUCAAUACCAUGUUCUCCUUGAUAGUCUUGGAGAUUUAUUCGAUGUAAUAUUCUUUUGCGGUGUGUUUGCCGAGAUCGGAUGAAUUGUGGAUUUAUGAUCAUAUUAUCUAUGAAUAUUAUUUGAGUCUUCUCUGAAUUCUUAUAUGCAUGAUUUGAUAUCUUUGCAAUUCUCUUUGAAUUGUCGGUUUAGUUUGGCCUACUAGAUUGGUUUUUCUUGCAAUGGGAGAAGUGCUUAGCUUUGGGUUCUAUCUUGCGGUGUCCUUUCCCAGUGACAGUAGGGGCAGCAAGGCACGUAUUGUAUUGUUGCCAUCGAGUAUGAAAAGAUGGGUUUUUCAUCAUAUUGCUUGAGUUAAUUCCUCUACAUCAUGUCAUCUUACUUAAUGUGUUACUCUGUUCUUUACGAACUUAAUACUCUAGAUGCAGGCAAGAGUCGAUCGAUGUGUGGAGUAAUAGUAGUAGAUGCAGAAUCGUUUUGGUCUACUUGACACGGAUGUGAUGCCAAUGUUCAUGAUCAUUGAUAUUGUGACGCCCGGGUAAUCAAGCAACAGUAACCCUCUGGUAAUGAUGCCAUGUCACCUCGAUUACUGUUGAUAAUAUCGCGUUAGUUCGGAACCGAUCCAAAUUCAAAUUUGAAUUGAAGUCAAAACAAAUAAAGUUUUCAAAAGUCAAAACUAAAUUGUUCCUAAUGUGUCAAAUAAUCCAUAAUAAAUGUUGGUGAAGAAAUCAUCUUUUAAUAAAGUACUUAAAUGCACUAAAUAAACUAAAAACGAUGAUAAAACAAUUAUCUAAAAUGCUUGUAAAGUAAUAAGAAAAUGCAAAAUACUUUAUUUAAAGUGCCAAAAUAUUUGGGGUUAUAAGCUAGUUAAUAACACCAAAUUAGUUGUUGCUUUUAAAUUUUAUAAAACUAAAAUAAAAUAAAACAGCAAAAGAAAAGCAAAAUAAAAUGNNNNNNNNNNNNNNNNNNNNNNNNNNNNNNNNNNNNNNNNNNNNNNNNNNNNNNNNNNNNNNNNNNNNNNNNNNNNNNNNNNNNNNNNNNNNNNNNNNNNNNNNNNNNNNNNNNNNNNNNNNNNNNNNNNNNNNNNNNNNNNNNNNNNNNNNNNNNNNNNNNNNNNNNNNNNNNNNNNNNNNNNNNNNNNNNNNNNNNNNNNNNNNNNNNNNNNNNNNNNNNNNNNNNNNNNNNNNNNNNNNNNNNNNNNNNNNNNNNNNNNNNNNNNNNNNNNNNNNNNNNNNNNNNNNNNNNNNNNNNNNNNNNNNNNNNNNNNNNNNNNNNNNNNNNNNNNNNNNNNNNNNNNNNNNNNNNNNNNNNNNNNNNNNNNNNNNNNNNNNNNNNNNNNNNNNNNNNNNNCGCCCCCAACCGCUCUGCCUCCCCCACUCCACUCCCUAGCAGGCCCCAGCGUGCGAUCCGCGUGCGCCCCGCCGCAGGCACGGCUGGCCGCAUGCGCCCCGCUGCCUCUGUCAGCCGCCCCGUCGCCCUCGACUCGCCGUCCCCCGUCGUCGCCGGACUGCCGCUGCCUCGUCCUCUCCCUCGUCGGGGCUCCCCGACCUCCGUCGAGCCCACUGCCAUUCCCCCUACGGCCCCAGUGAGCCUCCGCCUCGCUCCUCCCCUUCCCUCUUCUCGUUCAUCAUCGAACGCGCCCGCGCUCAGGGCCGCACUCGCCCCGCACGGUGCGCCAUCGUGCGCGAGCACGCACCCGCAUCCCCUACGCCGGUCGCGCUCACCACGACCCAGGGUCGUCCGUCCCGCACGCCCCGGCUUCUAGCCUCAUACCACCGCGCCCCUGGCUGCGCCCGCGAGUCCACGCGACCGCGGUGCCCCGCGCCCAAUCCACCGCCCCCCUGCGCUCCGGCCGGCCUUGUCUGGCCACGCCGUGUCGCCCCGCUCCGGCCAUGGCCGGCGACGCCGAGCCACGCGCCGGCGCCCUUCGCCUCCUGGCCGCGGUGCCCUGUCGGACGGGCUGGCGCCCGAUGCCCGGUUCCGCCCAGCGCAUGCGCGCCCGCUAACCCGUCCCCGUUUGGCCCUCUGGGUCACUUCCAAACGGGACGCACUAGCCCCAGAAUGUUUUUUUAAAAAAGAAAUUAAAAUAAUAAUAAUAAUAAAAUUAUAUAUUAAAAAUCAAUUAAUUAACUAGUAAAGAAUUAAUUAACUUAAUUAAUUUUGAUUAAUUAAACUAAUCAACUAACUAAACUAAUUAAUCAGUUAAUUAGUUAAGUAAGUAGUCAAUGACAGUGGGGCCCACCCCCCAAUUAAUCCUGUUUAGGUUAAUUAAAAUGCUUAACUAAAAUGUGUCACUAACCAGUGGGACCCAUUGGUCAGGUUGACCAGUCAACCCCUGUUGACUGCUGAUGUCAGCAUGACAUCAUGCUGAUGUCAUUAAUCCAUUUUCGAUUUAAAUUAAAUAAUUAAUUAAAUUCCAGAAAUUCAUAAAAUCUUUAGAAAAUCAUAACUUUUAAUCCGUAACUUGGAUUAAAUUAUUUUCAACAUGAAAGUUGCUCAAAACAACGAGACGAAUCCGGAUAUGCAGCCCAUUCAUCCGCCACACAUCCCUAGCAUAGCAAACUCGCAACUUUCCCCCUCCGGUUCGUCUGUCCGAAAACGCGAAACAUCGGGGAUACUUUCCUGGAUGUUCCCCCCUUUCACCGGUAUCACCUACUACCGCGUUAGGGCACACCGAACACCGUGUAUUGCCUUGUUACGCUUUGUGAUGCUUUGUUUGCUCUGUUAUUUAUUGUGUUCCCUCUCUGUUACUUCUUUCCGAUAGACCCCGAGACUGUCGGCGACCCCCAGUUCGACUACGGAGUUGACGACCACUCCUUCUUGCCAGAGCAACCAGGCAAGCCCCCCCCCCUUGAUCACCAGAUAUCGCCUAUUCUCCUCUAUACUGCUUGCAUUAGAGUAGUGUAGCAUGUUACUGCUUUCCGUUAAUCCUAUUCUGAUGCAUAGCCUGACAUUGUUGCUACAUCUGUUGAUACCUUACCUGCAAUCCUAAAUACUUAGUAUAGGAUGCUAGUUUAUCAUCAUUGGCCCUACAUUCUUGUCAGUCUGCCUUGCUAUACUAUUGGGUCGUGAUCACUCGGGAGGUGAUCACGGGUAAAUACUAUACAUGCAUACAUACUAUACAGAUGGUGACUAAAGUCGGGUCAGCUUGAUGAGUACCCGCAAGUGAUUCUGAGUAGGGGGCUGAAAGGACAAGUGGCUCCAUCCCGGUAGACGUGGGCCUGGGUUCCCGAUGACCCCCGACUGUUACUUUGUGGCGGAGCGACAGGGAAGGUUGAGACCACCUAGGAGACAGGUGGGCCUAGCCCUGUUCGGCGUUCGCGGAUACUUAACACGCUUAACAAGAUCUUGGUAUUUGAUCUGAGUCUGGCUACUGGCCUAUACGCACUAACCAACUACGCAGGAACAGUUAUGGGCACUCGACGUCGUGGUAUAAGUCGAAGCCUUCUUGACGUCAGCAACGGAGCGGCGCGCGCCGGAUUGGACUGGAACGCCUACUCUUGUAUAAGAGAGGCUAGGUCUACUUCCGGCCGCCCUCGCAACGUGCAGGUGUGCAAUGGGCGAUGAGCCCAGACCCCUGCGCGCAUAGGAUUUAGACCGGCGUGCUGACCUCUCUGUUGUGCCUAGGUGGGGCUGCGACGUGUUGAUCUUCCAAGGUCGGGCAUGACCCAGGAAAGUGUGUCCGGCCAAAUGGGAUCGAGCGUGUUGGGUUAUGUGGUGCACCCCUGCAGGGAAGUUAAUCUAUUCGAAUAGCCGUGAUCUUCGGUAACAGGACGACUUGGAGUUGUACCUUGACCUUAUGACAACUAGAACCGGAUACUUAAUAAAACACACCCUUCCAAGUUCCACAGACAACCCGGUGAUCGCUUUUCCACAAGGCGACGAGGGAAGGAUCGCCGGGUAGGAUUAUGCUAUGCGAUGCUACUGGAGAUGCUACUUGGAGAUGCUACCUGGAGGACUUCAAUCUACUCUCUUCUACAUGCUGCAAGACGGAGGCUGCCAGAAGCGUAGUCUUCAAUAGGACUAGCUAUCCCCCUCUUAUUCUGGCAUUCUGCAGUUCAGUCCACUGAUAUGGCCUCCUUACACAUAUACCCAUGCAUAUGUAGUGUAGUUCCUUGCUUGCGAGUACUUUGGAUGAGUACUCAUGGUUGCUUUCUCCCCUCUUUUCCCCCUUUCCUUUCUUUCUGGUUGUCGCAACCAGAUGCUGGAGUCCAGGAGCCAGACGCCACCGUCGACGAUGACUCCUACUACACCGGAGGUGCCUACUACUACAUGCAGCCCGCUGACGAUGACUAGGAGUAGUUAGGAGGAUCCCAGGCAGGAGGCCUGCGCCUCUUUCGAUCUGUAUCCCAGUUUGUGCUAGCCUUCUUAAGGCAAACUUGUUUAACUUAUGUCUGUACUCACAUAUUGUUGCUUCCGCUGACUCGUCUAUGAUCGAGCACUUGUAUUCGAGCCCUCGAGGCCCCUGGCUUUGUAUUAUGAUGCUUGUAUGACUUAUUUAUGUUUUAGAGUUGUGUUGUGAUAUCUUCCCGUGAGUCCCUGAUCUUGAUCGUACAUGUUUGCGUGCAUGAUUAGUGUACGAUUGAAUCGGGGGCGUAACAAGUUGGUAUCAGAGCCGACUACCUGUAGGAAUCCCCCUUCCACACUCCUUGGCCGAAGUCGAGUCUAGACUUUACAAAACUUUUACUAACAUGGCUGUGUGGCCCAUGGGCCCACGUCGCCAUUGGGUGGUAUUAGGAUCUUUUACUCCUCGUCUAUACUCUGGGGCUCUGAUCUCUCUUCUAUUCGGGUUAAAUGAUUUUACUAAAUCUAACUCUAGGUUCUCAUAACUACUUCCUCCUGGAGAGCCACUCGAUACAGGUGAUCGCCUGAUGCACUAGAAGAUUCCGAAGUUACUCUCCGAUGUUCCCUCGAUACUUUGUGCCAUCGCUUUUGCAAUUCCCUUCCAUCGAUAAACCCCUAUGGAUAACCAUGUAUACCCUCCAUUCAUACAAUGUUUCCCAGUUGAUCUUGUUACUGCAAGAUACCCCGAAAUUCUCGUUGUUGUUCCGAGAAUCCUUUGAGCUUAGUGCCUUGCUGUUCUUUGUCACCUGAAUACCCUUACGGAUAAUACCCGCACUUACCGAGUAUCCACUCAUCCCAGUUGAUUCAUGUAUGUCACCAAUCUUCGAAAUACCAUUUGAUCUUCCGAAAAUCCUCAGGAGCCUAUUGCUCUUGAAAUUCUUGCUUGCUUACAUUAUGGUUAAUCCCAUAAGUCUAGUAAUCUUAUUGGCAUCCCUUGUCACUAUCAUUUUGAGUCCGUUGAUUCAAUAUGCUGCGAAUGUUCACCAUCAUCAGUCUAAUCCUAGGAUUAUCUUUCCGGCUCGGACGUCAUUUUUAACAUGAGCUGGAUCUCGACCAAUCAAAUUGCCAUCGAUUGUACCCCUAAGCCUACUCAACUUAUCCAUCCUUGAUCAGAGUGUUGCUUCUGAUCCCUGGAUUUGGAAAUCAUAAUUCCUUUGCAAUUGAGCUUUGAGUUAGACAGUUGUUUCUAUAAUCUGACCUCCUUGCAUUCUUUCUUCCUUUGAUUGAGUACCGAUGCUCACAUCAGAUCCCUUGUGGACCACCAAAACCUUUUGUCGGAUUUUAUCCGACAAUGUCCUUCAUAUUCAAUAAGCUUGUGAGCCUUUCCUCGGAUACAUAAUGCCUUUGGUAAAUCGUAUCCUUUGCUUUCUCAAGCAUACUCUACUAUCGAGUUUGCGUUAUUUAUUCUCAAAAUGUGUGGUAUAUACUCCUAAGAUGCCCCGAUGGGUUGAACCUAUGCCUUCCUUAAUCUGGGUGAACCCGAAAGAUUUCACGGGUCAUACUUAUCUGGUAUUGCACCAGGUAAAAACCUUUAACAACUAAUGUCAUUUUCGAAAUACGAGAGGUGAAUGAAAGGUUAUGCGUUGAACAAGUGGGAGUCGACCUUGAACCCUGUGUUCAUGCCCAUGGACAUGAUGUAUACCUGAUCAUGGAAGCUUUUUUUAAAAUAAUUAUCCCCUUAUUAUAAGAUCAUCUUGUAUCUGUGGUCGUGGUUCCGACCAUGUUUCUCCUUGAUUCCAUUUCUCAUGCAAGUUUGAUCACUUGUCUUCUGCAAAGCAUUACCCUAGUCCAAACUCUACUUUGAUAUGAUGUCGAGUGUUACCCCUGGUAUCUCGAGAUUAUCACGGAACUGCAUAACUUCUUAUGAGUUCUUCAUCAAGUGCUACAUUCUCACUGAUUACAGUUUUUCAUGGGCUCUGAGUUAUUAAACACUCAAAGACACCGAUAACUGAACCGAGUCUGCACUACGGUUCAACAACUCUUGAUAAUCUUCUUUAAGUACGAGUUUCUACCCGAUCACGCCAUUCCUAGCCUGAUCGGCCAUAUCAUUAUCGUGCAACAUUUUAACUGUGCUACCUGGUCCUUCUUUCCGGAGCACAAUUUUCGACGUUGAGCUAACCUUACGUCGAUCUUCCUCCUCAUAUAACUUCUCCUUAAAAAAAGUGAGCUUGAUUUCGAGUUUGUGUCGUAUAUGUGGCACCAAUAAUCUUUUGUUGCAUCAGUCCUUUUGCUUGAUGCAGUCGUUGUUCAAUUGCUUCUUCGUGGAUUCUCUCGACAACAAAUUGUCGUGAUCAUCAUCAACAUUUUGACUCCUUCCAGGAUAUCAAUGGAAUUCUUGAUGAUAAGUGCCAUCCUCGUUCCUUGGUAAUUUCAUUUACCAUCAACAACAUCCUUACCUUCCUUUCAUCACAAACUUGUUCAUGUUAUGGAUGCAACUUACUAUCCAGCCCGUAUUAUGAUCUACCUUGAAGUAUUACUGCCUUUUGUCAAGGAUAUUGUGAGAAUUUCACCACCUCUUGAGAAUUCUUGAUAUAAGUGAUACUUCACCAUCACCAUUCUUUUCUUGGUCCCCGUGUUGUUCCUAACAGGAAUACCGACAGAUGGACUAGUAAUUUUAAAACUUCUGGCAACCUUAUUGCUUUGAAGUUAAUGGUCAACAUUUCAUUCUUAGACCAUUGGUUAUCGAACCGCCAUUCUAACAUUGUUUGUGCUACCUAGCCCAGAUUUCAGGUGCACAUUUCAACCAAUAUUUAAUUGUGUAUGUUUUCCUCGGGCAUACAUCAUUAUACCAUUUGAUCUGACAAAUGUUAUCUCCUUGUUCACAUAAUUGUGGAAAUCCAUCUUUUCUUAAUCUCGAUAAAUUGUCGCUGAUUCCAUCAGCCACCCUCUCAUCCUCUCCUUGGUUUAAUGAUGAUGAAUCCUUGUCUUCAAACUCGCUUCCAUAGUUCAUUGCCCGAAAAUCUUAUAAUGUUAUCUCGUCAAUUGCGUUGCACCUUUUCUUCUCAGGCAUCCUAAGACAGAGGUUUCCUGACACCAAUCGGAUCUGAACCUCGGUCAGAUAUGAUGGUUGGAACAUAUUUCCAAGAGUUAUAACAUUGGUCUUUAUAUGACCCGGUAAGAUGAUGUCAUGCCUAGCACACCUGGCCGGAGGACCUAUUGUUAUAGUUUCCUUUUGGCAAGGUUAGUCAUUCUUCCGCGAGGAAAUUGUAAGACUUAUUCUAUAAGUUGUUCCCGAUGGAUCCUUUGUGUAUCCAAAGUUUGAUCUUUACCCAGUGACUAUGCCAAUGCUAUCUCGAAACAUGUCUGUGGUACUCCGAUUUUCAACAAGAUCAUUUGAAGCCCAAUGCUAAAUGUUUCCUGCUCAAUUAUCCAAACACUGUUGUAUGGUUAAUGUCAUGGAAUUUCUCUCCCCUUACAUAAAGGGUUUUCUACAUUAUAUCCUGUCAUGGAUAUCAUGCUCUGCUUGUCCUUGGGAAGGAUAUGCCCUUGAAAUAUGUGUUUAAACACAUUUUCCUUUCCAUUGUUCUGUUUAAAGUGAUAAUCACAUUUUCCAUUCCAUUGUCUUGUUUAACCUUUCUUGUGGUCUAUAUGAUCUAAGCAGUAAUAUUCUCCUGCUUAUGUAAACACAUUGUCGUACAACCUAGUCAGUAAGAUCCUGUUACUAUUGUAGAUGACAUUCCAGUAACCACCGAUGGACGAGAACUUUGCCUAUUGGUCCGCCUCGUUCAACGAGCAGGAAAAUGGUUCUCUUCGUCCCUCGCCCUUGGUACCGACAUUGUUGCCGACAUAACUGAUAGGCUACCCUCUGACAUGUCUUGCUAUCGUGACCGUGUCAACGCCCUUCCUCCUUUUAACCACAUGGUGGGCCCAUAACCCAUAGUUCCACAGGAUCGAAACCUGACUCUCCUGUGCACUCCCUGUUCCCAAAGUUAUUCCUCGCACGUGGCCUCGUAUGUAAUUCAUGGACCACCGUCCUAGUGAUUUAUUCUGGUAACAGACACAAUAACUACUCCCGUUGCUUUCGACCCCUUUCACCCCCUGUUUCAGGCAUCGAACGAUUGCGUGCCCGCUCGAAACUUCACCUAAUACCUCCCUACUUUGCUCCCGAUAUUUUCUUAAGUUUCAAUUUGAGAGUUACUUCCGCCACCUCCCCCGAUGUUAUCUACCAGAUAGACAACCUUGCAGAGGUCCGUUCUCCCGGAAUACCCACCCUUUAUUCUUUCGUAAGUACGAUGGAGUUCCCGAAGAAAAGAUGCCGACUUCAUCAUGAUGACUUGAAGCAGAGAAAUGAAGACAUCAACGAAAGGGAUCAACCACUUUGAAAGGGCAGCCAAGACCGAGAAGACUCGUUAGGUUUUUCGCUACCAGCACCUUCCCCCCUUACUCCACCGCUUAAAUCUCGGGACGAGAUUUCUUGUAGUGGAGGAGAAUUGUGACGCCCGGGUAAUCAAGCUACAGUAACCCUCUGGUAAUGAUGCCAUGUCACCUCGAUUACUGUUGAUAAUCUCGCGUUAGUUCGGAACCGAUCCAAAUUCAAAUUUGAAUUAAAGUCAAAACAAUUAAAGUUUUCAAAAGUCAAAACUAAAUUGUUCCUAAUGUGUCAAAUAAUCCAUAAUAAAUGUUGGUGAAGAAAUCAUCUUUUAAUAAAGUACUUAAAUGCACUAAAUAAACUAAAAACGAUGAUAAAACAAUUAUCUAAAAUGCUUGUAAAGUAAUAAGCAAAUGCAAAAUACUUUAUUUAAAGUGCCAAAAUAUUUGGGGCUGUGACCUAGUUAAUAACACCAAAUUAGUUGUUGCUUUUAAAUUUUAUAAAACUAAAAUAAAAUAAAANNNNNNNNNNNNNNNNNNNNNNNNNNNNNNNNNNNNNNNNNNNNNNNNNNNNNNNNNNNNNNNNNNNNNNNNNNNNNNNNNNNNNNNNNNNNNNNNNNNNNNNNNNNNNNNNNNNNNNNNNNNNNNNNNNNNNNNNNNNNNNNNNNNNNNNNNNNNNNNNNNNNNNNNNNNNNNNNNNNNNNNNNNNNNNNNNNNNNNNNNNNNNNNNNNNNNNNNNNNNNNNNNNNNNNNNNNNNNNNNNNNNNNNNNNNNNNNNNNNNNNNNNNNNNNNNNNNNNNNNNNNNNNNNNNNNNNNNNNNNNNNNNNNNNNNNNNNNNNNNNNNNNNNNNNNNNNNNNNNNNNNNNNNNNNNNNNNNNNNNNNNNNNNNNNNNNNNNNNNNNNNNNNNNNNNNNNNNNNNNNNNNNNNNNNNNNNNNNNNNNNNNNNNNNNNNNNNNNNNNNNNNNNNNNNNNNNNNNNNNNNNNNNNNNNNNNNNNNNNNNNNNNNNNNNNNNNNNNNNNNNNNNNNNNNNNNNNNNNNNNNNNNNNNNNNNNNNNNNNNNNNNNNNNNNNNNNNNNNNNNNNNNNNNNNNNNNNNNNNNNNNNNNNNNNNNNNNNNNNNNNNNNNNNNNNNNNNNNNNNNNNNNNNNNNNNNNNNNNNNNNNNNNNNNNNNNNNNNNNNNNNNNNNNNNNNNNNNNNNNNNNNNNNNNNNNNNNNNNNNNNNNNNNNNNNNNNNNNNNNNNNNNNNNNNNNNNNNNNNNNNNNNNNNNNNNNNNNNNNNNNNNNNNNNNNNNNNNNNNNNNNNNNNNNNNNNNNNNNNNNNNNNNNNNNNNNNNNNNNNNNNNNNNNNNNNNNNNNNNNNNNNNNNNNNNNNNNNNNNNNNNNNNNNNNNNNNNNNNNNNNNNNNNNNNNNNNGACGCCGAGCCACGCGCCGGCGCCCUUCGCCUCCUGGCCGCGGUGCCCUGUCGGGCGGGCUGGCGCCCGAUGCCCGGUUCCGCCCAGCGCCUGUGCGCCCGCUAACCCGUCCCCGUUUGGCCCUCUGGGUCACUUCCAAACGGGGCCCACUAGCCCCAAAAUGUUUUUUAAAAGAAAUUAAAAUAAUAAUAAUAAUAAUAAUAUAUUAAAAAUCAAUUAAUUAACUAGUAAAGAAUUAAUUAACUUAAUUAAUUUUGAUUAAUUAAACUAAUCAACUAACUAAACUAAUUAAUCAGUUAAUUAGUUAAUUAAGUAGUCAAUGACAGUGGGGCCCACCCCCCAAUUAAACCUGUUUAGGUUAAUUAAAAUGCUUAACUAAAAUGUGUCACUGACCAGUGGGACCCAUUGGUCAGGUUGACCAGUCAACCCCUAUUGACUGCUGAUGUCAGCAUGACAUCAUGCUGAUGUCAUUAAUCCAUUUUCGAUUUAAAUUAAAUAAUUAAUUAAAUUCCAGAAAUUCAUAAAAUCUUUAGAAAAUCAUAACUUUUAAUUCGUAACUCGGAUUAAAAAAAUUUAAACAUGAAAGUUGCUCAAAACGACGAGACGAAUCCGGAUAUGCAGCCCGUUCGUCCGCCACACAUCCCUAGCAUAGCAAACUCGCAACUUUCCCCCUCCGGUUCGUCUGUCUGAAAACGCGAAACACCGGGGAUACUUUCCUGGAUGUUCCCCCCUUCACCGGUAUCACCUACUACCGCGUUAGGGCACACCGAACACCGUGUAUUGUCUUGUUACGCUUUGUGAUGCUUUGUUUGCUCUGUUAUUUAUUGUGUUCCCUCUCCGUUACUUCUUUCCGAUAGACCCCGAGACUGCAGGCGACCCCCAGUUCGACUACGGAGUUGACGACCACUCCUUCUUGCCAGAGCAACCAGGCAAGCCCCCCCCCCUUCAUCACCAGAUAUCGCCUAUUCUCCUCUAUACUGCUUGCUUUAGAGUAGUGUAGCAUGUUACUGCUUUCCGUUAAUCCUGUUCUGAUGCAUAGCCUGACAUUGUUGCUACAUCUGUUGAUACCUUACCUGCAAUCCUAAAUACUUAGUAUAGGAUGCUAGUUUAUCAUCAUUGGCCCUACAUUCUUGUCAGUCUGCCUUGCUAUACUAUUGGGCCGUGAUCACUCGGGAGGUCAUCACGGGUAAAUACUAUACAUACAUACAUACUAUACAGAUGGUGACUAAAGUCGGGUCAGCUCGAUGAGUACCCGCAAGUGAUUCUGAUGAGGGGGCUGAAAAGACAGGUGGCUCCAUCCCGGUAGAGGUGGGCCUGGGUUCCCGAUGACCCCCGACUGUUACUUUGUGGCGGAGCGACAGGGAAGGUUGAGACCACCUAGGAGACAGGUGGGCCUAGCCCUGUUCGGCGUUCGCGGAUACUUAACACGCUUAACAAGAUCUUGGUAUUUGAUCUGAGUCUGGCUACUGGCCUAUACGCACUAACCAACUACGCGGGAACAGUUAUGGGCACUCGACGUCGUGGUAUAAGCCGAAGCCUUCUUGACGUCAGCAACGGAGCGGCGCGCGCCGGAUUGGACUGGAACGCCUACUCUUGUAUAAGAGAGGCUAGGUCUGCUUCCGGCCGCCCUCGCAACAUGCAGGUGUGCAAUGGGCGAUGGGCCCAGACCCCUACGCGCAUAGGAUUUAGACCGGCGUGCUGACCUCUCUGUUGUGCCUAGGUGGGGCUGCGACGUGUUGAUCUUCCAAGGUCGGGCAUGACCCAGGAAAGUGUGUCCGGCCAAAUGGGAUCGAGCGUGUUGGGUUAUGUGGUGCACCCCUGCAGGGAAGUUAAUCUAUUCGAAUAGCCGUGAUCUUCGGUAACAGGACGACUUGGAGUUGUACCUUGACCUUAUGACAACUAGAACCGGAUACUUAAUAAAACACACCCUUCCAAGUUCCACAGACAACCCGGUGAUCGCUUUUCCACAAGGCGACGAGGGAAGGAUCGCCGGGUAGGAUUAUGCUAUGCGAUGCUACUGGAGAUGCUACUUGGAGAUGCUACCUGGAGGACUUCAAUCUACUCUCUUCUACAUGCUGCAAGACGGAGGCUGCCAGAAGCGUAGUCUUCAAUAGGACUAGCUAUCCCCCUCUUAUUCUGGCAUUCUGCAGUUCAGUCCACUGAUAUGGCCUCCUUACACAUAUACCCAUGCAUAUGUAGUGUAGUUCCUUGCUUGCGAGUACUUUGGAUGAGUACUCAUGGUUGCUUUCUCCCCUCUUUUCCCCCUUUCCUUUCUUUCUGGUUGUCGCAACCAGAUGCUGGAGUCCAGGAGCCAGACGCCACCGUCGACGAUGACUCCUACUACACCGGAGGUGCCUACUACUACAUGCAGCCCGCUGAUGAUGACUAGGAGUAGUUAGGAGGAUCCCAGGCAGGAGGCCUGCGCCUCUUUCGAUCUGUAUCCCAGUUUGUGCUAGCCUUCUUAAGGCAAACUUGUUUAACUUAUGUCUGUACUCACAUAUUGUUGCUUCCGCUGACUCGUCUAUGAUCGAGCACUUGUAUUCGAGCCCUCGAGGCCCCUGGCUUUGUAUUAUGAUGCGUGUAUGACUUAUUUAUGUUUUAGAGUUGUGUUGUGAUAUCUUCCCGUGAGUCCCUGAUCUUGAUCAUACACGUUUGCAUGCAUGAUUAGUGUAUGAUUGAAUCAGGGGCAUAACAGAUAUCAUCACAAUUAUGCGCUCUUCUAUCAAUUGCGCAGCGGUAAUUUGUUCACCCACCGUAUUAUUUGCUAUCUUGAGAGAAGCCACUAGGGAAACCUAUGGCCCCCGGGUCUCUUUUCCAUCACACAAGUUCUCUUUUUCAUCAUAUUAGUUUCCGAUCUACUAUUUUGCAAUCUUUUACUUUCCGAUCUAUAGACCAAAAAUACCAAAAAUAUUUACUUUACCGUUUAUCUAUCUCUAUCAGAUCUCACUUUCGCAAGUAACCAUGAAGGGAUUGACAACCCCUUUAUCGCGUUGGGUGCAAGUUUGUUAAUUGUUUGUGCACGUAUUCAGUGAUUUGUGCAUUGUCUCCUACUGGAUUGAUACCUUGGUUCUCAAACUAAGGGAAAUACUUACUCUACUUUGUUGCAUCACCCUUUCCUCUUCAAGGGAAAAUCCAACACGAGCUCAAGAGGUAGUAGCUAGACCCUCUUGCCUUUCCCUCUCAUGGGAGAAAGGAAAGGAGGGCGCCACCCUCCCAUGCCUUUCCCCGCACUCCAAAUAAGGAAAGGGGGAUGCGGCUUGGGAGGGACCCAAGUAGGAUUCCUCCUACAAGGGCACCUCCUUUGGCUGCUCCUCCCUCCCUCCCACCUAUAUAUAUGUGGGAGGGGGGCGCUAGCAUACAAUAGAAAAUUGCCUAGCCAUGUGCGGCGUCCUCCUCUACCGCUUACACCCCCGGUCAUAUUUUCGUAGUGCUUAUGCAAAGCCUUGUAGAGAUAACUUCACUGUCACCGUUACCACAUCGUUGUGUUGUCGCAACUCAUCCACUACCUCGCCGUCUUGCUAGAUCAAGAAGGCGAUGGACGUCACCGAGCUGAACGUGUGCAGAAUGCAGAGGUGCCGUGCGUUCGGUAUUUGAUCGGUUGAAGCGCGAAGAAGUUCGACUACAUCAACUGUGUUAUGAAACGCCUCCGCUUACGGUCUACGAGGGUACGUAGACACACUCUCCCCCUUGUUGCGAUGCAUCUGCUGGAUAGAUCAUUGCGUGUGCGUAGAAUUUUUUUGUUUUCCAUGCAACGCUUCCCAACACUUGGCAUGCCUAGGGCCGAAAUAUUGUUUUGGCGGGCAUAUUUUUCGCCCGCCACUGGUGCAUGACAAACUAGUGGUGGGCCCUUCCUUAUUGCCCAUCACUGUUGUUUUCAACCCGCGAUCAAAUUUGGAAUAGUUUAUUGGUAGCAAAUAGUAAGGUUUGCCCGCCGCUGGUGGGCCUGGAGUAGUGGCGGGCAUUUAUUUGUACCCACCACUGCUACUUUUCCAAAAUAAUAGUGGCGGGUUCCUAACCAUGCUCAUCACUAAUUUGAACCCACCUAUAAACCUAUUCCUAGUGGUGAGAGGUCAACAUGACCCAACAUUACAUCACACAUUACAGCGGAAGAAGGCACGGGUCCGAGUACACACAGGAAGCAAAUAUGCUUAAGAGGCAAGAUAAUAUGCAGCGUCCACCCUGCCAAUCUCAAGCUGCCAACCGAGAUCCCAUCCUAGUGAUUGUCAUCAUAUAGAACGUACCACGCUCUCACCUUAGAGAAACGCCUUACAUGUACCUACAUAUGGGUUUGUUGUGGUAUCUGUGAUCCUUUUGGGACUCAUCGAAUACAUUACCAAUGGUGUCAAGACUAACAAAACUUUUGUCGGUGUACAAAAUUAUGGGCUCUUUUGUACCCCUUACUUGUGCACGGGCAGUCGUAGCCACACCUGCGAUAGGGCCUGACAGGGCAGCAGAAGACAAAACACCAAACUAUCAAGACAAUGAACAAAGAGCAGAGGACAAGCUGGACUACCCCCGGCAACAUCCUUGCAGGGACGGCUUGCGUAGCCCCGGCAAGCUCAUUGCCAUGGCGACUUGUGAAGCACCAGCAAGGCCAUCACCCUUGAGGCCGAGAGUUCUGACACCAUCGACAACGUCAAGGCCAAGACUUGGGAACGCAUGCAUAGUAGCAUGCAGAUCUUUGUGAAGAUUGGUGGCAUGCGGGUACACAUGGGACCAAAAGACGAAGACCCCCGGCAAGAUCCUUGCCGGGGACGACCACGAGGCCCCCAGCAAGCCUUGCCGGGGACGAUUGCUGGGUCGUGGCCAGGCCCGUGCCCGACAAGGAUUUUCCACCUCACCACCACUCCAGUGCGACGACCAGCAUGCCAACUAAGCAGGCGCCUGCGUGGCGGCAUGCAGAUCUGCCUGGAGGCUCUACCACUGCGCCAACACAGCAGCUAGCUAGCCAGCAUGGCACUGCAUGCCUCGUCAGCCUGGAUGUGUGUUAAGGCGAGGAGGGGCGGCGACGGACGGGACGGCUUCUAUUUGCCAUUCCCGAUAAAGUAAGAGGGCACGUAGGCAGCGCAUUAAAUGCGUUUGUCCUAUGGUGCCAAGCGAUAAGCACAUACACUGUAGCUUGCUUGCCACCUCAUAUGUGCCAUUGUGGCAACCCCUUUGACAUAUAAAAGGAGGCCCAAGGCAUACAUAAAGAGAAUUCAGACUUUUGGACUGGGCAUGCACCGCAGCAAGUUCAAGAGCUCAAGAACACAUAUACACACACAAGCAGGACUAGGGUUUGACGCACCAGUGCGGCCCGAACCUGGGUAGAAUCCCCUCGCGCUUACCACUAGACCUGCUCUUCGUGCAGCCCCUCUCCCCGCCAACUGUAGAAGGGAUUCAUGUGAUCCCAUAGGUGUUCGUUUCCCCCGACAUCUUUGGCGCGCCAGGUUGUGGGAGUCAGUUGUGAGAAUCUGGUCUAGCGGUUAGAGCAGCAGCUUCUUCGUCUCUAUGGCUUCGAAGAAGAAGACAACCGGAGCAGUUGGUUCGUCUGGAGCCACUCUACCCGUGCCAGCACGGACGGGCGGCAUGGCAGACGCUAGUGGCGGAGGAGAUGAAGAUCAUCCACGCCACCCCAAUACGAGAAGCCAGGCGAGCGACGUCAUCUGCAGCUACGACAAUGACCCGCACAGCAACAAAAAGCUAAGGCAUGCUAGAAACUUGACUAAUUCCCUUUUUGUGAGGUUAUCUCCCUCGAAUGGUUUCGGUUUUUUGUAUGGAAAACCUAUAUGCAAGGAACCCUGCCACUAUUGGCAGCGCCCUCGUUUUGUUUCGAGUCCGCUCAACAGUUCAAGUGGAUGCGCCAAGAAUGGCAAGGUGGCUUGCCCAGCAGCAACACCCCCAAGUAGGCUGCUAAAGAUCCGUCCUUCGAAGCACCCAUGGCAAGGGUUAAUGCGUCGACAAGCCUAUCCAACUAAGCACAGGGUGUACUACAUACAAAGAGAAAUCAUACAGGGAAAUAACAUGCAUUUAGUUCGAAGCACAUCAAAGUUGUAUUACAUCAGUGAUUGUUGCAGUUCUAACUUAAGAUAAAAUUGUCUUGGGUGCGAACUCGCAGCGGCAACAAGAAAUGAAGCAGCGAAUCCCAGCACUGGCCCUCCAGCCUCUUGACUCUGCCGACGCAGAUGAUGAUGGGCUCGAUGUGCUCCUCGAGCGCCUGGAGGUCAGCACCCUCCGACAAGCUAUCAAGCGCCUUGGCAAAGUCGGCGCUGGGGUUCCGGUACGCCACCUUGGUGAGCACCUUGGUCAAGACACCCCGACAAAGCUUCUGGGACUCCUCGGCCAGAUAAGUUGCCCUGUUGGAGUGGAGCAGCUUCAGGGCGUCGAGGACACGCUCGAAGAACAGGGUUAGCUUGGCGCUGUCGAUCACGUUCACUUCAUGGGAAAACCUUAAGUUUGGCAUGCCCAUGGCGGACAGCUAUGUAGUGAGCCUCUCUGCAACAUCCACAAGGCGGCUGGUCUAGAGCUUCGUGUUGGCCACAAGCUCGUUGUGGGUGACGGCGGCGUCCUACAGCAGCUGCCUCUUGUUCGCGAGAUCCUUGACCAAGGUCUUUUCGCAUGCCCUGGUCUCCGAGAGCUUCUUCUCCAUAGUAUCCUGCUUUAGCUUCAGAUCGGCAACAGAGUUGUUGGCGUCAGUAAGUAGCUUGGUCUUCUCGGAGAUGGUGACCUGCAGGUCUGACAAAGUGCGGACAGUCUUGUCCCUGUUAUCCUUCAGCGUCAUGAUCUCCUUCUUAAGCUCCUCCAGAUCCAGCUCCAGCUUCUCCACCUUGCCAGCCAGCUCAACCUUGGCGGCCUCUACGGCCUCCGCUCCAUUGACGACCUCCUUCAGUUUGCCGGCAUGGUCCAGGGUCAAAGCAUCAAGUGCUUCUUUGUGCUCAUGAUUCAGAUCCUGGGUCCGCUCCACGACAAGCCUUUCGACUUCUUCGUCCUUGGCGUGAAGCUUGGCGGCGAGCGCCGCUUCGCGGGCAACCAAGUCCUCUUCUUGGGCGUCAAGCAAGAUGCAGCAUUGCAUCUGGUCAGAUUCAUCCUUGGCGGCCUUCGCCUUCGCCACCUCCUGGGCCUUGUCGAAGUCAGCCUGCUUCAAGAGGAGCUCUUGCUGACGCUCGUCUAGCUGGACCUGGGGUCUCCCCGAUCACAGCGUCGACAUCCGCCUGGUCCAUCAGGGGAGGAUCUAGAAACUGAAAGGGAUAUCAAAGCAGGGCCAAAACCAAAAGUUCAAGACAAAGAAAAGGAAGAAAGUCAUGGCAAAGAUAGGAAGGGGCGGUGGCGAACAAUUUACCUACAACGAGUGGAGUGGAAGUAUCUCCCACCCUGGCAACAUUCGUUGUCGGGACAGGGUCGCCAGCGCCUAUACCCACAACCUCCUCCUCCAUGCGCAUGAGCUCGUCGGUGGACGCCCUUGCCGGGGACACCCCUCUGGUUGGCAUGGUUGACGGGGGCGGCGUGUCAGGGAUGGCCCUUAGUGGCUCCUCCUCCUACUGCUCUCCUCCUGCGAAUCCGGCAAGAUCAGCAAUAAGGAUACGCACUCCAAUGCUCGCCGGCGAGAAAUAAGUAACAGACUUACGAUGGGGGCUGGAGUGAGGGUUGGUCUCCGGGCUGAUGAAGAUCAUCCCCGGCGCACGUGGAGUGCUUGCCAAGGGCUCAUCGCUCGUUGGGGCCCUGGCUCUCUUUGCCACCCUCUGAGCCAGCGUCUCCGUGUCCCUGCAAAGAUGAAAACAAGUCAAGGUGAAAUAAUCCAGAGGAAGAAUCAGAGAAUGGAUGGGGAGGGAAAGCGCUUACUCAUCCUCCUCCUCUGCCCUCCUCUUCCUCCUCGGCCUAAAAGACCCAAGGUCGUACUCGGCCACCGGGAUGGUGCCCGCAGGAGAAGGAGACGGGGUCCUUGGACGCUUGGCUGAAGAAGAAGCGACGGCGCGUUUGGUCGAGGAGGAAGCAGCGUUGCAGCUUUCUUCACUGUCGCAGCUUUCUUCUCCGCCUCCGCGUCCACGCGCCUCGUCUGAAACAUGGGUUGCGCCUGAUCCCCUUGCAGCUGCAUGGCCUUGCCAGAACGGACGGGCUCGCCGGAGCUAGCCCGCCGCAGGACACACUUCUUCGGGGUUGAAGGCUCGUCCGCCUCCUUGGACCCUCCCUCAUCCGCCUCCUCGGCCGUUUAUUCGACAAGGGGAGCCCCGACAUUGGUGCCGCUGGCCCCCCGGCAGACUCCGCCCAGUUGGUGAGCUUCUUCUCCUCCUCGGCCUCCUCGGCUCGUCCUCCACAGCACCAAGGCUGUCGGCCUCCUUGAUGAGUGGCGCCUCCUCCUACAUGGUGGCGAUGUACUCCAUCUCCUCCUCGGUAGUGGGGCGGAUGAGCUACGGCUCUGUGCGGAUGUAUCCUUCCGACAGAUUGUCGAAGAACUUCUGCACUAUCUUUGCUUCUGUCUCGACCCAGGUCAGGUCGAGGCCGUGCACGUUAAACACCGUCAUCAUGGCGAUGAUGGUGGUCAGGCAAGAGUUAUUGCUCAACGGGACCACCCCGCUAGCAACUGGAACGACUUGUCCACCUUGCCAGUCUUGGCGGCCUUGCCGGACUUCUCGGCCUCGCUGGUCUCAUCAACCUUGAGCUGGAAGAGCCGCUAGCAGAGAUGCACGUGCUGAAUCACAAUGAAAUUGUAAUUUAGGCUAGGGCGAAGCCUCAUGAUGUCGGUCGCAUUCUUGUAGUCCCAGGACGGCCUCCCCUUGUUGUGCAGAGGAGCGAUAUGGCGGUGGAUGAAAUCGGCCGCGAUCAUAUCGAGCGUGAGCCCGGCUGAAGUGAGGCGGUGGAUCCUGUUGGUGGUGACCGUGAGCUUCCCAUCGUCAGUGUCGAGCUUGCCCCAGUUGUCACCAUGGACCGGCGACUCCUGACGGACCUGGCUGAACUCCUACGGGUCCUUCUCCUCGAUCCAGCACCACCGGCCCCGCCAUUCCUCCCACUUGUCCUUUGUGAAGCCCUCCGGGUACACGACCUUGCUCUCGGCCCUUGGGAUCCAAGUGACGCAGCCAGUGAUGGCUCCUCCCAUCUGGAUGCGGGGGGAUGAAGUCGUGGCGGAAGAGCGCCGUGUUGGGGUGCACCCCGGCGAAGCCCUCGCAGAGAUGGGCGAAGAAAGCCAUGCACGCCACGACAUUCAGCGUGAAAUCCAAGAGAUGGAAGUCGUAGGUGUGCAUGAUGACAUUGAAGAAAUUGGAGAAAGGGGGGCAGAGCUCGCGGAAGAAGUAAUCAACAAACAAAGGAUAUCUAUCUAACCCGGUCUUGGCGAAGCGAGCGGGGAUGAUUUUCGUGGUAGGAUGCCCCGGCGUCUCCCUCCCCCACAGGGGCUUGAAUUUUUCCCUGAGGACGAGCGCGUCGACUGCCGGGACGAAGAGGCGAACUUCUUCCGCAGCUUCACCAACUCGCUCUCCGGCAUCUUCUUCCCCGCGGCGGCCUUGGCCGCUACCUUGCCUUUGCUUGCUUUGGGUGCCAUGGUGACUGAGAAGAGGCGGGGGAUCGAGAGGCAAUGGAGGCACGGCAGCGGCAAGCGGAGGCGUGAGGCUCUGGUUUUCGCUCAAGGAAGAAGAGGGGAACGGUGGUUCCUAGAUUGGGAAGGGCGCAGAGGGUAAAUGAGCGGCUCCCCUGUAGAUUCCUCUUUUAUGGGGAAGGCGCGGGACACCCUUUUUACCAUUUACUGCAAAAUGACGCAUGCAUGCUGCGGUCAUCCCAUGCACGACCCCACAUCAUGCCCUCAACACGGAUCAUGGGGAAGCACAACUGACGAGAAGAUCAUGGAAGUUAAGUCUCUGCCACGCAUGCCCACGCACUGCUUUGGGCCUGGCCCAACUACGCCUUGUGCUUAUGUGUGGCUCAAGCCCGGGGGCUCCUGUCGGUGUACAAAAGUAUGGGCUCUUCUAUACCCCUUACUUGUGCACCGGCAGUCGUAGCCACACCUGCGGCAGGGCCUGGCAUGGCAGCAAAAGACAAAACACCAGACUAUCAAGACAAUGAACAAAGAGUAGAGGACAAGCUGGACUACCCCCGACAACAUCCUUGCUGGGACGGAUUGCCUAGCCCCAGCAAGCUCCUUCCCGGGGCGACCUGUGAAGCACCAGCAAAGCCAUCACCCUUGAGGCCGAGAGUUCUGACACCAUCGAGAACGUCAAGGCCAAGACUAGGGAACACAUGCAUAGUAGCAUGCAGAUCUUUGUGAAGAAUGGUGGCCUGCGGGUCCCCAUGGUACCAGAAGACAAAGACCCCCGGCAGGAACCUUGCCGGGGACGACCACGAGGCCCCCGGCAAGCCUUGUCGGGGACGAUUGCUGGGCCGUGGCUAGGCCCAUGCUCGACAAGGAUUUGCCACCUCACAACCACUCCAGUGCGACGACCAGUGUGCCAACUAAGCAGGCGCCUACAUGGCGGCAUGCAGAUCUUCGUGGAGGCUCUACCACCGCACCAACAUAGCAGCUAGCUAGCCAGCAUGGCACUGCAUUCCUCGUUAUCCUGGACGUGUGUCAAGGCGAGGAGGGGCGGCGACGGACGGGAUGGCUUCUAUUUGUCAUUCCUGAUAAAGUAAGAGGGCACGUAGGCAGUGCAUUAAAUGUGUUUGUCCUACGGUGCCAAGCGAUAAGCUCAUACACUAUAGCUUGCUUUCCACCUCCUGUGUGCCACUGUGGCAACCCCUUUGACAUAUAAAAGGAGGCCCGAGGCGUACAGAGAGAGGAUUCAGACUUUUGGACUGGGCAUGCACCGCAGCUAGUUCAAGAGCUCAAGAAUGCAUAUAUACACACAAGCAGGACUAGGGUUUUACGCACCAGUGCGGCCCGAACCUGGGUAAAAUCCCCUCGCGCUGAUCGCUAGACUCGCUCUUCGUGCAACUCCUCUCCCCGCCAACCGUAGAAGGGAUUCCUGUGAUCCCAUAGGUGUUCGUUUCCCCCGACAACUUAUGGGUUGGAUAUGGAUAUAGUGGUGAGGUUGCAGCAAGCAGCUAAGCAAUGUAACCCAUCUAGUUCCACGAAUACUAGAACAAGAUAAGAUAAAAUCAUAUGCAUAAAGAGGGUCGCAAACUAGUUGAUCAAGAAGUGAUGUUGAACACUUACCUAUGAGUCAUUCAUAACCCCACUGUGUCCUCUUCUUUCUUGCAUACCCAAAAGAAGAGGCAAUCACGGUUACACACAUGUUGGUCAAGUUCUAGUUAUUAGUUCAAUGUUGUUUACCACUAGUAUUAUAAAUUUCCAGGUCGCCUAUAACCAUUGGCAUGGCUUUAUGAAAGAUUUCACCCUACAAGGGUGCUCCAACUAUCCAUUAUAGAUUUCGCAUGCAUACCCAUUCAUCCAAGUUCAGGGUCGUUAAAGCUUGGAAUCCAUUGAGGAGUUCUGAGUAACAAGUUCCUCUAGCUAAUGUCAAACUAAUCCAGAAAGGCCUCCCAGUGGGUCAAAAACUGGAUCAGAGUCGCACGUAUCUCGUGACCCGAUCCCAGCCGGAUGGGCAAGGGAUACGAUAGCCAAACCCCAAGUUUCCCUGGUGGUGGCACCGCGGACUGGCAUUGCGGACCAAUGCUCCUCGGACGCUAGCCCAAGUUGUUUAUUAAGAUAACUCGGGUUCAUGACUCCCUAUUCUAGUUUUAUAUUGGUAAAUUUUAGUACCAAUGUUGGGCCUUCUAGAAGAGUUCAAUGCUAGAUAAAGGGAUUCAAUGGAUGCCCCAUAACCCCCACACACCAAAGGAUGCACUUGUCAUGGAACAAAAUAACCAGAUUGUCGGUGCUUAAGGUUGGCUGAAGUGGAACAAAACAGCGGGGCAAAAAGCCUAAGCCUACCACCCUUACCCACACUUGAACAGGUUCAAGAAUUAAGCAUGAUAAUAAUGAUAACCCAAGCUAUCCAUGUUGUCACAGGGAAAGUACGGUACACCUACAACUAGCAACGUUAUAAGAGUGGCUGAGAAAGCGAUAACAUAGCCAAUCUAAGGUUUGCUUGGUGGUGGAGGUUAAAGAUUGUAUCAUGGCAAUAUGGAGGCUGGAAACAUGUGUUAGGUAGUGAGACCAAACGAUAGCAUCAAGACAUCUAGCAAGUAAGGCUAGUAAUGGUAUCCAUGGUAAUGAUCAUCCUUGCCUGUUAUCCCGCUUUAAAGAAGAUCAAAUACAUGAAGCGUCGUCAAAUGAAUCCUCGCACUUCAUAUCGUUGCCAGAAAGAAGCAAAUGAUACGAUGAACAAACAUGGCAUGGCAUAAAGCACAAACAUGAACAAACAUGGAAUGGCAUAAGCAAGACAAGCAAUUACUACAUAUUAGGUGAAGCUCGAUAUGCAACGAGUCGCAUAUCGACGAAACUCCACGUUUGCAUAUUAGGUUCAAUUUCGUUUAUGUACUCAUCAAGACUAAAUGUUGUUUAUCAUGGCAAAGAGUGAAAUAUAAGUAAACUGUCCUAUCUAGGCAAUUUAAAUGAAGGUGGAAACAAUAAAUAGCACCUCCGAAAAGCCUCAUAUGCAAUUAAAGGAUUUACUAUUGUUUUGCCAUAAACACAAUUUUAUACUUGUUAAACAGGAACUGGUCCAGUUACGUUUAUAAAUUGUUUAAUUUUGACCAACUAGCAUGUUAUUCGGGCAACUUAAAUUCAAAUAGCAUGUUCAAUGUUUUUGACGUAGAUGAGAGGCAAAUAACUAGAAUCUACACGAAAAACUAAGCAAGAUUCACAAAUAACAUGUUUAAAUCCGACUUAUGGGUAUUUAGUUAUUAGAUAUUUUAAAAAGGAUGGCAUUUUCUAUAAUUUUCAAUAUGCAGAAAUUAUUUAAUCUUGAGGUGCCGAAACUACUGCUACACAGGUCAGCGCUGAUAUUAAACUACGCACGUAGGCGUUGGAUACUGACCUACGCCUAAUGGGUUGGCACAACUUAUCGGGCGAGCGUCAAAUAGAUUAAAGCGCGCAGGGCACAUCAUCGAGGCGGUCGCACAUGUGCUGCUCACCUUCUAGGUCGAGGCUCGGUUGAUGGUGAAGCGGCUGGGCUUGGAGGUUAGAGUGCUCGACUCGGACCACGGGGAUGGACGCGCUGGGACAAAAAUAUGAGCAUUGUUCGUCAUAUGCAAAUUCAGUGAUGUUGUGAAUGGAGAAGUAGCAACAACUUGUGUAACUUUGGUAAUGCAAAUAUGAGCUCAACACUAAAGAAAUGCAAAUAUGAAUGAUACUGAAAGGAGAGUAGAACAAUAAAUUAUUGCCUAAUAUAUAGAAAUAAUUUCCAGUUAGAAGUCAAUGUGGUUCCUUUUAUCCAAAUUUAGCAAUACUAUGUUUGUAAAGUGGUCAAUAUUCCUAAUUUGUCCUAAAGUAGAAUUAUGUCGUACUCAUCAAAAUCAUCAGAUAUAUUCAGUCAAAUGCAUUGCUUCAAGAUUAGUACAGAAUAGGAAAAAAUCAGUCCAUGGCUUGUUGAAGAACCCAAACCAGGUAAGAGGGGUGUAUACCGUGCGUGACCGGACGUCCUCUGGUAGGGUGAUAUUGAACAACUGCGAACUCUAAGACACAUCCAGAUGAAGAUUAAUUAGUAUCGUUUAUCUGGUUCUCCAUAUGAGAAAACCCCAAUUGGUCUUGGUUGACAACUACUCCCUCCGUCCCAUAAUGUAAGACGUUUUUUGAUUUUAUUAGAGUCAAAAAACGUCUUACAUUAUGGAACGGAGGAAGUAGCUAGCAAACAUCGGCGGCGCGCGGCCGCCGGCAGGCGAAGGAGGUCGGCGGCGAAGCACCGUGUUUCGUGAGCCUUCAUGCUACGGGGAUAGCCGGCGUGGCGAGAGUCGUCAAGCUCAUGAAUUUUUGCAAAAUAGCGAAUGAGGCUAGGUGCAGUGUGAAUGAUAAACAAGGGGGUUUUAUACGAGUGAGGAAUAAAGGAAGUGGUGUUGCCACAAGUCUAAGCCCUAUGUUCCUAGUCACACACAGAUCCUCAUAAGUUGUGUGUGGAAUGCUUAUAAUCAUCACACACAAUUGUCUUUCAUGAAACCGUUGGUUCUAUUAUGCACACAGUUCAUUUCAUGAAACUACGGGUGAUAACUAAUCAAUUCACAAACGACUCUUCUUUUCGACCCGCUUGUACUGUCAUGCAUAUAGUUUCCUUUUCUUGGUCGUGUGCGAUGCUUUUUAAUCGCACAUGUUUAUUUUCUGGACAAAUGAUUUUAUAUCCAUAUUGUCCACAAUUUGGACAUCGCCCGCACCACUAUCGCACCAUGUGUCCCCCGCCAAAUGUGACACAUCCGUUAUCACCCUAGAAACUAGGGUGCCAGCCGACACCACUAUGGGCCUAAUUAGACGGAGAUCUUUGUAGUUGUCUACCAACCGCCAUAGCACGCGGCUGCGAACGCACUGCCACCCACCUCGAAAGCCAUCAACAACACCCUUUUAACCAAGGGAAGAUGGCCGCGAGCCAUCGGAUAUGAGAGACACGAGCUGCAGAGGGCCUGAGUUGAACUGGCUGGUGCGUGCACCACUACCAUCCAUCGCCAUGAAGCACCAGUCGUCGCCACAGCAAGGGAGGUAAAGCCUAGGAGCCCCGCCGGCAAACGUGUUUUGCCCCACGACGGCGGGCGAGAGGGGAGGGUUGUCGCCGAGGAAGAUUUGGUCGCUGCUCAAGUCGCCUUGCUGGAGAGGGACGUGCGAGGCGACCUAAAAAGAAAAGGGAUAGCUGCAAUGAAAUUAAAUUGUUUUCAAUAGGGAUAUGAUGAAAAUGGUUAUUCACUUCCUUUUCUUCUAAUCACGUUCACGGAUCUGCAGUUGAUGUAUAUCUUCCCCCACCACGGAAAAUGCACGUUGACGAGUGGCGCAAGUAAGAGCGCACGUGAAAUUGCCCCAAUUUUCUUCGGCGAUCCGUGGGUGCAUUUUCCUUGAUCAUUGUCCUCCUACAAUUCGAGUCUAGAACUUGGUUGUUCACACAUUCCAUCCACCGGCUAAAUCAAGACACCUGCAUAGAAAGAAUUGUCCAGAAACUGGCCGCAGUUUUGCUUCGCGUCAGAACGAAUACCGAAAGCACACGGAAUUUGACCGACAACAGUAACUAUAACUAAUUAACGACAUCCGGAAGGAAUUCCGCCCGCCCGCAGGACCGGCGCCGGCGCGGCGCAUGCUCACGCGCGCGCCGUAGCGAGCCGCGGCGAGCGGCCCGUUCCCCGGCCGCACGGCUUCGCGUAGCACAUUAGCAUAGCACCCGUCGGGGCACACGAUCGAGACCGAGAUCGAGUACGUGGUGGGAGAUGGAUCGCUCGCCGGGUCGCUGAGAGCUCAGUCUGAGACGGAGCCGGCAAGGAGGCAACGGUGGGUGCGCGCCGGCGGGCCCCGGAAAUCUGGUGCAAGAGCUGGGCUGGUGACUUCCGGCCUGCGUGCCGCGAGCGGUUCGAUCGUACGUGGUCGCUCCUUCCACCGGCAGUUGCCUUCGGCGGCCGUGGCCCGCACCUCACAUGCAGAGGCGGGUAGGCGACGCAGCCGUCGGCAUCCCACUCCUCGCCCCGCACAUGCGCCUGAGCAGUCCGUUACUUUGUCCCUUUCCGCUGUUAACUGUUCGGAGAAACGAUCGAUGCGGGUCAGGUGGAAGGUCUCGUCCUCCUUUUUCAUGUUCUUCAGCUUGUCUGGAGAAAGAGAGAGGACAUCAACGAUAAGGUUUUUCAGUUUUUUCUUUUGCGGAAAGGAUCAAAUUUAUUAUAAAAUAUCACCGGAAAUACAAAGCAUCUCAAACAUAAUAAAAAUUACGUCAAAAUUCGCAGAUCAUCUAACGACCAUCAUCGCCACCCGAAUGAGCCGCCGACACACCGCGCUAUCGUCGCUCUUCUAUCGGAACCGACUUGACCUUGUCGAUAACAGCCGAAAAGUCUUACAUUUUUAUGAAAUGGAAAGUCUUACAUUUGGAGUAGUUUAAGUGGACAACAUGACCAAAGACUAGCUCGGCGAUUUGGAGAGGUUAGCGCCAGUAUUUACGGCGACGAUCCAGCGGUCUCUACUAGCAUGCAUGCUAGUUAAACAACUUUCUUAGGAAAGGGAAGGCCAGCUUAGAUAGAGUGAACUUUUAGGCGGCGAUGUUGCCGGCUCUCGUCUCGUGUAAAAGUUACUCCGAAUCAUUCACUAUCAUUAGGUAGCUAAGCCUGACGGUUAUAGAACGAACGAAUUGGUUAGUGGUUACCAUACGGAAAGAAAAGGAGCUUUUGAAAGUGAAAGACAUGUGCCGGGAGAUUGGCACCCUUUGCGUUGGAUAGACGCACUAGCUAGUCGGUGGUAACUGAUAUGACGCAGACAUACUCGACUGCGUGCUUUGCUUGGUCGUUGCAAAAAUUAUGACGUACCGACCUUUCCAAGGAUCGUCGAAUCUACCGGAACAGAGUAGAAUUUCCACUGGCCGUGGCCGUACGUUGGUUAGAAAGUCAGGACCAAAUUCCCGGCGUUCAUUAAUCUUUGGCGCGCAUAAUCAAGUUUGAUAAGUACUAGGGCAAUACGAACUGAUGAGUACUGGCAGUACUGAUGAGAGACUGAGGGAGGGACAACAGAUAAGCAGGAGUACACACAAACAGUAAUAACUUAUGGUCUGCUUACACACUGGUACAGUGACGGUGGGCGCGGGAGUGCACAUGCAAAAGUGCCCCUCCUCCAUAUCCCACCGACGUAUUCAAGACACACAUGCACGACGACGCCUACAUGACACCCGAUGACCCAACCUUAAUUAAUCAAAAACCUCCUCAGUAGUACCCAUGCAAAACGAUCCAUGGUAGUACAAAUACCAAAUCAAGCCAAUGCAUGCAUGAUUCCAAAUGAUGAGUUCAGUUCAGCAGCUUCAGCUGUACUGGACGAUGGAACGGUAGAAGGUGCUGGGCGCCCAGUUGGCCGGGAUGACCUUGUCGGCCACCAGCGUCUUGCCGGACUCGUUGGUGAUGCGCAUGGAGAAGGGCGCCUGGAGGCGGUGGCCGGAGUCCAGCCGCCAGAUAGACCCCCAUGACUCGCGCAUCGGCGUCCACGUCCCGGAGUUGGCCUCCAUGAGGUCCACC